UUCUCACUAGCGCUCGACCAUACGCACGACUGCAGAGCAUCUCAGUUUCAGAAUGGAUACCUUUUAUGGUGGGGACGGCGCCGCGGCCUCCUCCGGCUCCAGCUCCAGCUCGCCUUCCUCGGGGGAGACGUGGUUGUACUCGACGGUGUCGCAGGCGCCGCCGAAGCGGCCCGCGGGGCGGACCAAGUUCCGGGAGACGCGCCACCCGGUGUACAAGGGCGUCCGCCGAAGGGGCGCCGCCGGGCGGUGGGUCUGCGAGGUGCGGGAGCCCAACAAGAAGACCAGGAUCUGGCUGGGCACGUUCCCCACGGCCGAGAUGGCGGCGCGCGCGCACGAUGUCGCUGCGAUGAUGCUCCGGGGCCGCUCCGCCUGUCUCAACUUCGCCGACUCCGCGUGGCGCCUCCGCGUUCCGCCCUCCUUCUCGAGCUCCAGGGACAUCGCGCGGGCCGCGGCGGAGGCCGCGGAGGCGUUCCGGCCGUCAUCGGACUCCAGCGGCGACGCUGCGUCCCCCCCGAUGACAGAGAGCUCAGCACACGCAUCACCAUCGUUGCCCACGACGGCCACACCUCCCCCGACGUCACCGGAGGAGGGCGCCGGCAGCGACAGCUACCGCGGAGGCGCGUUUGAUAUGAUGAAUUACGACGACAUGGAUUUGGGAUACUGUUACUACUCCAGUAUGGCGGAGGAGUUGCUGGUGGAGCCGCUGCUGUACAAUUGGGAUGAUGUCGAUGCUGGCGCCGACCUGCCACUGUGGAGCUACUCCAUAUGAUGAUGGAGACGACAACGUGGCACCUGACCAGGUCGAUGUUAGGUUUCAUGUAUAUUAGCUACUGUGAAAUUGUGAUAGAUAGAGUGCCCAAUUUUGGUUCGAACGAGAUGACUUAUAUUUAAAAGGAAAUGAAUGCAUACUCUCCUAGUCAUCUCAGCCAUCGGUAAUUUGGUCUUCUGUAACAUCUCAGCCAUCGGUGACAAGCCUGCCACAUGUCACAUCUAUUAUCAACAACUGAUGUACGAAAGCAGCAGACAAAUAAGAAAAGUAAUUUGGUCCGUACGAAUCGGAGGGGAUGCAGAAUCUUACGUGUAACUGUUGAUGUGGCUUUGUAUGACCGACGAAUUCCUUCUGUCCACCGGCGAACCAAUCAACUCUGGGCAGCAAUUUGGUACUUGUGAGAAACAGAAGUCCUGUGGCUGUCAAAAAUAGAUACAUAAAUAAAUAAAAGAGUAAUGUCACAGUACAGAUGAACACUUGCCAGGAAGAUCCCAUGAGUCCGCCACUAUCGGAUAUUUCACACUUUCUGGUGUUGGGGUAGAGAGAGAAUACAGACGAACCCCACUUGAAUCAUUCUGCAGAUGCGGUCAAAGGUCAAACAGUCUUUUCCACUAGGGUUUUGGUUAAUGUCUUGCUCUCACGGUCAACGUUGGUGACACCUGAAAUAACACGAGCAGAAAACAAAUUUAUUUACCAUGCGAUUAAUGCCGAAAAGUAAACGAGGUGAAUAACUGUUAGGAUUCAGAAAGCCAGACUCAAUGGAUCAGAUUCUGUGUGCAUGCAUGUCUGUAUUCCUAUUUGGAUACAGAGAAAAGAGGCCAAAAUGGAUCUACAAAUUAAUCCAUGGCCACCACAUCUGACAUCGUCUCUUCAAAUUCACAUGAAAACAAGAAACAAGCAAGAAUCUAUAGAGACGUGGGACAAAAGGAACAAAAAACAGAUUCCCAGCAGCGUCGUAAAACACUAAUAGUUCACUAAAAUUUAAUCACGAUUACGUCAAAACUCUAAAGUCAGUUUAAAAUCCAAUAGUUCUCUAAUUUAGUAGCAAGCAGAUAGAAUAGCUGCAUAGAGAGAUAAAGAGAAGAAUAUAAGUAGACCUGAAGUAGCAAUAAAGGAAGAAAGACCAGAAAUAGUAAAAAGUAUGUGUGCUAUGAAGCCAAUAUUCUCUCAUACAAGCAACCAGACCUCUUUUUCCUUCUUCAACUAAGACUCUAUUGACUCAUACAAAACACAACUAUCGCCUCCUUAAAAUCAAGUGCCUACUUGACAUAUUGAUUAAUUGACAAAUAUAGUCUGCCCUUGACCUGAAAAAAGUAGCAACCGAAGCUUAAAAACAUUAAUUUGAAUCCAACAUAUUGACCUUUGGAUAUGCCAAUCCAAUUUGAUAUCUUUGAACUUUGCCUUGAUUGGAUCAUUAAUUUACAGCCUCGGGUACAUCAAGUUGCAUAGAAUGAAUGGUUUAGAAGAGUGCCCAGUUGAUUUAUGUUUGCUUUAGAUUAUCAAGUUAGAAGUGAUCAGCUCACAAGCAACACAUCAAUGUCUAUGAGCAAAGUGCCCCUUGAUUGCCAAAGAAGACAGAAAGCAAAUGUGUUGCACCAUGAAUGUCAUAUUACUGGAAUAAUGUUACAACAUUAAAAAAAUCAUUAUGAAAAGGAAAAUAUAGUGCAUACCUUUUCUUCCAAUAAGCCAUUGACCUCUUUGAGAACGUAUACAGGAUCAAUGCUUCUGUCAGUCAACAGAAACCAGCAUUCAUCAUCCAGCAGAAGGAACAUCUGGCUCAUCUGAUGGAUCGGUUGACUCAUCAGAUCCUGAUAAUUCAGCCUGGCUGACUUCAGUUCCCUCAAUGGAGAGAGUAUGAAGGAUAGUACUAAAGGUGGCUCUCUGCCAUUUGACCUGGCAAGGAUGACCAUGUAUAAUCUCCACCCACAUGAUGGUGUAAAACUAACAUUGGUCAAGUAACAAGCUCUCAUUUCUCUUUAGUAAUCGGUAGGAAGCAUACUCUGACUAUAUAAGAUAGCAAAUUGGUGCUGGAAACAAGUUAGUAAGUCAACCAGAUCCUCAACUUCAGGAUUAUCCAGCUACACAAAAGGCCUUCCUUUCCUGCAGAGUACAUUGGGUAAUGUUGUGUUGCAAGGAUAUAAAGGUUCAUAGAUUACUCGUGAAUCUAAGAUAAGGCGAUAAAAUGACUAAACAGAUUAAAUCAUGAAAGAAAGAGAGUCAAUAUAAACAAAGAGAAGAUUCUACCUGAACAGAAACUGAAUGUAAAUAAUGAGAGCAAAGUUCUAAUCAAUCUUAAAGCAUCAAAACUUCAGAAAUAUAUCAACUACAAGCAAAGUAAAUUUGUACAUUGCCAUUUUUGAUUUGUUCAGCUCGUCAUUAUCAAUUCAAUGCCUCAAUAGAACUUAAAUGUUUAGGCAUUUGAGAAUACCUCAAUUCAGGAAGUUGAAAACCAAAGAAGAUUAUAAUAUACGAACAAAAAAAUAUUUACUAAAUUGUGGCCUAAGUAUCAACACAUUAGAUGCCCUUGUAGAUUAUAUGCAUAUCAUUUACGGCAAUCUAUCAUUUCAUUGUCUAUAAACACAAAACUUAGAUUAGGUUGCCAGACAGUCAGAAUUUUAUUGGGAUCGGAAACCAGCAGCAGGAAGGGCGUGGUUUUGCCUCCUUAAACCAACCUGAUACAAAAGUGAGAGCAACCAUGAGACACUAUGUGCGCAACUCCUCUCGCGGCGAGAGUGCAAGUGUGCAAUGUACAAGGCACAAAUCAACAGAAACUAGAAAGCACUAUACACUUCGUUUCCUCUUCCCCUAGGUUUCCACAUUUGUAACAGAGAUAUAUGUGAUCCAGUAAGCUUCUUUGUUUCGCCUAUCUGUAAUAUAAAUCUUGAAAAAUAAACAACUAAAAGUAACCAUCAAAAGGAAGCCAACACAAAUGCAUUAUGAAUCCAGAAGAUGCGUCAUCUUCAGCUCAUAAUUCACACCCGUACAUAUAUGAUAGAGUCUUGAAGACCUGAUUCGGAUGCUAUAUCAGAGUUGCAUCCAGCCUAUCUUCCGCGAGCUUCGGCAGCGAGCGUCCACCCCCGAGAUCUGGAAGAAAGGGGCCGGAUCAAAAACCCCAACCAUCCGUCUUCUUACUGAGAAAGGGGCACCGGAUCAAGAGAUCGUACCUUGGAAACGGCGACGAAGAAGGUGCUGGACGAUUGAUCUACAAGGAGCGAGAGGCCGAUGGCGACGCGCUCGUCCCGGAGGAGGUCGACGCCCUCGUUGCGAUGGCAGAGACUCGACAGAUCGCAAGAGGCUCCCCGACGCCCAUGGACGAAGGCGCGACCGGCGGAUGCGGAGAGGGUUUCGAUCCGGUUCGAUAAAGCAUAGUAAGGGGUUUUGUAGUGGUGGGUUGGCGGGGCUCCACUACAAAUUCAUGGGAACAUUCGCUUCUUUAAGAUUCGGAAAGGCAAAUCGCCAAUGAAUUUGAUCGGCUGGAGCAUAAUACUCAAUAAGAUUCAAAAUUAAGUAAUAUUUUUCUUGUGAAAAAAGAUAAUAAUGAGGAUUAAGCCAGUUUGACAAAUUCAAUUGUGAGAACAGCUUCUAAAAGAACAAUGUAAAUAGCUUAUUACUUUAAUGUCAAAAAGGAUCUCUUUCUAGUGAACUAAUAAGCUAAGGUAGAAAAGUUUAUAGAUGAAGCAGCAGCUAAGAAGGUAGCAUUGCUUAUGGCUGUUCUCUUGCACAGAGCUCCAGUGCUUGUUCGGCUUCCCUCAGAAACAGGCGAGUGAGCUGCUUUUGGCCUUUCCUAUACACCACACAGGACCAUCGAGUUCUGCUCAUUGACACCCCUUCACUUGUCCUUUUGCUCCUGCGAAGAAAACAAUAUAUGGUUCAAUAGAUGUCUCACUAGGAAUGCCAUGGAUAAUGUUUUUUGUCUUGCCUGCAACAGCAGAUGCAGCACUCAAAUAUUUACAUUUUCGAUACUAAAAGAUGAUGAAUGUGACAUUGCAUAUGACUGCUCAUAUAUAACCAAACUAAUCAAACUUGUAUAUGGUGAUGAAUAUGAUAUACUAAGAUGACAAAGGGAACAACUACACAGGAGUUAUUUAUGGUUCAGACCUACAAAAUUGAAAUUAAACUCAAAACACCGUGACAACACCAGAAACAACUCUCAGUAGCCUCAAGAAUCUGCCCCAUGAAUAUGCUUAUGGCAAAGGUCAGCAGAAGGGAGAUUGAAUAAACUCUUAUGCAAUUAAUAGCCACCUUGCUGAACAUUUGACGAUGACUAUAUUUCUUCUCUUGGAAUGGUUUUGUACUUGACAUGCAACAAAAUCAUAAAAUUCAAGCUAGUUCAGCAUACCUCUCAACAUCUUCAAGUUUCAUGAUGGAGAAAUUUGUAAGAAUUUCAUCAUCAUAAUCUUCUGUUCCAGAUCCCUCUUCAAGUUCCAUCAUCCUUGCAAACAUAAAAUGUAAGAAACCAAAUAAAAGAAUAGCACAGCUAGAUACUAUUUUCAGAAUCUGCAUGCUAAUUUCCCAGCAUAGCAUAUCACAUCAUCUAUAUGGAGGCUAUUGGCAUGACUAAUUGUUCCCUAAUCUGUAUUGAUUGUCACAAUAUUACACAUCAAGAAACAACAAGACACUGAAACAGAUAGAUGGAAGGCAUGCUUCCAAAAGAUAGGUCAGCUCAAGACAAGGUUUUAUAUAUUAGUAUUGUACUCGUACCAGAAUCUUAUCAGACAAGUAUCACCAACUGAUAUCGAAAAUAUGAAUCAGUAUACUCAAUAAGAACAAUGAUCUUUUAAUGUGUCAGUACAUUGGAAGUAUUACAGUAUCUAAGCCAUUGCUCAAGGUACUUCGAGAGAAUUUAAUUUCAUUAGUUAUCAUGUCAGAACAGGCAUAGAGAUGUCAGACAAAACUGACAAACCAUGAAUUGUUCACCUAAUUUAGAAUACCUAGGAUCCAUAUCUGUAAGAGUGACAAAGAAGAAAGAAAUGAAAGUACCUAAGAAUGACAAAGAAUGUCACAGAGAAAAAAGAAAAAUGCACAUGUGAGAUGAGACUAAUACUUCAUGCGAAGAAGUUCAACAAGCAGUUCCAAGGCUCCAUAAUCCCCACAGACUUCCCAUAUAGCUGUUUGUAUAUCUUUAUCAGAUGGUUGUCUUUCCUCCCCAGAUGCACCAAGCUUGUCAAAGUAAAAGAAGAAAGUAGAAAAUCAAGGGCAUCAUAAACUGAAAAUAUCUAUGUAGUAAUUUGUUCACACCCAGUUAAUGAAUCUGUGUCAAAUCAGAAAAAACAUCUUGUAAGAUGAUGAGAUGAUCCACAUAUGAACCUAAGGCAAACUUACUUGAAGUUGUAUGUGUAAAACAUUAAAAAUGAAGUUGAUUAAUAAUAAAGGAUAACAGGAAAAUGUGGACCAUGUCAUAUUGUAAUAUGCUUUCAUCCACAAAUCUAAUGCAACCUUGAUUAGCAAUUUGAGAAAAUACAAUUCAUAUGUGAUAAAAGAAUUUUUUUUCAUGUUACGUAUGGCAUUUAACGUUGCAAAUAGGUACAGGGAAAACUGAAAUAUAAAAGAAGAUAUGGAAGAUAACAAUAAAAUGUACGCAAGAUGGAUUUAUUAUGAACAAGUUAAUAUAUCAUAAAGAAUAUUAUUUCAGUAAAUAAUUAUUGCAAAUAAUAAAAAUUUUGACCCCUAUUGUCUGCAGCUUUUUAAGGCAUAAGAGGCCUCACUAUAACCCUAGGGAUUCCAUAAUUACAAUGCAUGUGGAGUGUUGGAUAAUGCAUAGGCAAGUGAAGGACUGUUUGAAGAAAUUAAAAUUUUUGCUCUUCUUUCCAUCUAUCCUCUUCUCUCGAGUAACAGAACAUUGCAAAGUUGGUGGUUGACAGUGAAUGCAAUGACUCGAGCAACUAUUUCCUCCUUUCCCUCUUCUUCCCCUCCCAAGGCUACCACCUAGAGUAACUGUCAGCCUCCUUCCAUCAUUUAUCCUUCUAUUUUCCUUUUCUUCUUUUGACAAAUUGUCUAUUAACUGAUCAACAUCAGCCAACUCCAACUGAGUUUUACAAAUUCUAGAUCAUUGGAAAUGAGACCAAAAAUCCACCAAAAAUAUAUCAGUAAUUCACCAAGUGAAUCAUAUGAGAAAAAUUAACCAAAAACAUGAACUAUGCUCACAACAAAAUGAUAAAACAUUUAUAACUUUACAGCUAAAACGUGUAUAUUUGAAUCUUUCAUAUUUCUCCUAUGUUAUGCCAAGUAUACCAAAUAGUGUAUAAAUCUUUACAGGUUUAACUAUUCAUCUAAACAAAUUGCCUAACAUCACUACAUCAUAAAGUAUUAAAUUUAUUUUGCAGAUCUUUUGCUUCGAUAAGCUACACAUCAUUUACCGAAUAGAUGAACUGCCUCAUCCAACCAUUAGUAUAAAGUAUAAACAUGUCCAUUUUAGGAUAAAAAGAAACAACCUUUACCUCUUCUAGUAAUGAAACAACUUGCCUAAGCUCAUGUUCCUGCAUUGCAAUAGUCCGCAAAGCCACAAGGAACUCUUGUGGGAAAACCAGCUUGCUCAAAUAUGAAGGAACUUUGCGCUGACCACUCCAGCUAUAAUUAUAGCUCUGGCCGACCAAGCUUUUCUUACUAUCUUCAUUUCUUUCACUGAAGAAACCAUGAUUGAGCGAACUUUUAGGUAAGAGACAUCUCAGUUCAGCUUUCUGCAGGCGAAACCAAAUUCAUAAGCAAAAUCAACACAGUAAAUGGUGUUUAUAAGCACUGGAAAAAUCCAUCAAAUAUCAUAAUGCUCUACUAAUCAACAUAUCUGUGAUAAAUUAAUUUCCAGCAGUAACAGCUGAGAAAUGAAAAAAUACAAAUAAAUAUCUUCAAUUCUAGAGCUGCUAGUGUAAAUUCAUCAGUGCUACUCAAAAGGGUCGGGAAAACACUAUCCUUGAUCAUCCACAGUAUUUAGUGUUAUAGGCUUACAGCCAUAAAGAAGGCAAGCUUAAAUGUUUAGGUAAUACAAAGAAAUUAAGUCAGGUAAUACAAAGAAAUUAAGUCAUGGUCCAUAGUGCAUACAAUUUACAUUGUACCUAAAUCAGAUAAUAACUCUUAUAAGCAUUAUAAGAGUUAACAUAAGCAUUAUCAGCAAUACUCAGAUUUUUGGAAAUUCUGUCUUAAAGGCCGAACAAAUGAUGAUCAGGAAAAGUAAAUGGAUUUCUAUAUCAACCCACUUUUCACAGUUGUGAAUCUUGUGAAACAUCAGAUUACUAAUUUUUUCAAGUUACACUAUACCUCCUGUAGUUUUAGCUAAAAACACUAUGCUCCCCUGUACUUAUAAUUUCUAAAAUUGGCCAAGUUUAGAAACUAGAAACUAUCAGAUAAGGCUGUACAAGUUUGGCUCUUAUAUGUAAAAAUAAUCUUGUGCAACAUAUGUGACUGUUAGAAAAUAAAAAAAUGUGGUAAACUUGAAGUUAUCCAAAUCAUCAUCAUAAAACUUGUUGGUUGUAGCAAAUGAUGAGGUUUCAUUAACCAUAAUGUUAAGAAUGGUUCGCCUUACCGGUCCAUACUGGUGCACCGACCGACCAUCGGUAUGAUACAUUCUGAACCAUACCGACAUACCAACACAUGGUACGGUGAGGCAUACCGAUAAACUGGUAUGUACCACCCAUACCGGUCCCCUAUCGAACAGAUACAUAUCGCUUGUACCAUGCGGUAUACUGGGGUACAGCGAACCUUGAUGUUAUGGUAGAACUGAUCUGAUAUCAAAUCUAGUAGUGAAAAGUGCCUGUGGCUAAUUAUGCUAACUUAAGAAAAUCAAUUCAACACAAUUUAGACAACUUUUGCAUAAAAGUCAUACUGUAAUGGGUGUUUCAAGCAUCUGGUUAUUUAAAUUAGGAGUCCCAACACUGCACAAGAAUAGACCAUGGUGCCUAACAGAUAUGAUAUUUAGAAUCACUUACUGGCACUACAAAGCCGUGACCAUGUAACUGAUGGAUCAGUAUAAAACCUUAGGUAGACUUAACCUCCAAUAUUCACAUAAAUUAUGUCAUUUGUAAGAGAACUAAUUAUGGCUUAUUCUUGUUGUGUAAGAAAACUAAUCCUAACAUGAAUACCUGAGCUUCUAGAAGUUCCGCUUUGCUAUCUGAUGAUGAAACACUCUUUAAUGCUUCAAUGGGAUAAUGAACCUAAAAAAAGUUAAUCAAGAAAAUAGUAAAAAUGAAGUAUGGUUUACAAAAAAUGGCAUUAAAAAACAAGGAGUAAAUGAUGCAAUGAAACUAAGAUGAAAUAGUGACUAGUUUUUACAAAAGAUUAGCCACAAAAUAUACACACAUAAUGAUUCAUGUUACUCAAAUUACGGCUCUCAAAAAAUAUACUAAAAUUGUCAAAAAGCACUUUUUGCUUUUAUAAAAAUUAUGGAAGGUCUCCAUACCAUGAGAUAAUCAUCUGGAUUGUUAUCAACAACAAACCCAUAAAGGUACAACAGCUCCUGCAAGCAAAAUAAUAAAAUGAUCAAUUCAUAAACAAAAAAGCAUGAACUCAACAUCUUCUAACUUGAAAACCUUGAUAUAUGGUUGUGUAAACUUAUAUUUGAUAUGGCAAAGGAAAGUCUAGUCUCGUGACUUUGACCAUUUUCUUCUUUACAGGAAAGAAUAGGCAAUGUGUAAUAGCUUUUUACUCUCAAACAAUCCAACAUGGAAUAUAGUAAGAAUGACAUAAUUCUUCAGAUCACUGACCCUGAAAUGCAGAAUAAAUCAGAGAAUUUGCAGGACGAGGACAGCAGACGAUGAAAUGGGCUGAUUAUGCAUGCUCCUUACAGCAUGCAUCAUUGCUUUCCAACAGAUUCUAGUAAGAAGUAAGAAUUCGCUAACAACCAGACUUUCCCAUGAAUGCACAUGUUCUAGCUAAAAUCCAAGGCUGACCUUAAAUACAAUCUGACAAUUUGAUCCAUUUAGUUAGAUAAAUCCAUUUAGUUAAAUACAAUCUGACUUUUCUCUCUUCAUCUAAGCACAACCAGAUCCUCAAAUGUUUUGAGUUUUUAAUAAAUUUCAUUGAUAACCAAGGUUCAUCGAUAGACCACUUGAGCACAUGCUUUCAUCUUGGCAACCUUGGUGGAAUAUGCAAUUGUGUGCACUAGACAUGGCUAAGUAAUUUAAGCAUACCCCACUCAAACACAAACUUUUACAACUUAGGUGUAUAUUCUUCCCGAUGUUAGUACAUACAAUAGGUACAACCUACCUAGAUAAGUCCAGCAUGAAUUGUUAUUAGAUAUUAGCCUCAUAGAACAAUUUCAACAAACCAGCAAAAAAUAAUAAUAAUAAUCUAAUAAAAAUGCAUCACAGAUAGGCUAGAAGAGGAAAAGGAAAAUCUUAAAGUUAAUUAUACUCAUAAGGCGGGCAUAUGAAAGUUUAUGCCAACAAUAUGCCAAUCCAUGCCAUUCAAGGGCAGUCCAUACUAAAUAGAUCACUUGGAUACAAAUCCAGCAGAAUUUGUUCUCGAAUUCAGAAACAAAUAGAAGAGUACUGUCGUCAUGAAUGUUGUUUGUACUUUGUAGAACAUUUUUUUCAUAAAUUAAAUGUGUUCUCAAAGUACCAUGACACUGAAAAACAAUAUACAUUUAUUCAAAAUUCAUAUUUACACAUAAGAUUGAUAAGCUGAGUAGCUGCCUAAUGAAAGCAAAAAAAUAAACAGAACUGUGAAAAGCAAAAAGUCAUAUAAUGCAUCCGCAAAUUGUUUCCUGUCAACAAGAGCUUCCAGUAAAUGAGAAGUAAUGAAAACUACAAACCAUUUAAUUCAAUGGACAAAGUUUGUACCUCGUUGCCUUUGUUACCAUAGCUGAUACAUAUCUCCUUCCCAACUUCAAAAUUUUGCUGAUCAGCUUUUGCGGAGAAACACAAAUGAAAUCAAAUACCAUAUUUAACUGGAUAAUGAAUUGCAUGACUUAAAAAAAAAAACAACCUGAAUUUCAUUGUUGAAUUUGCACUCAGUUAAAAUUUCAAAUGCCAAACAAACUUAAGGAAAGACAUCAACUAUGGAUGUCUAAGAAUCAUGUUAAGAACAUAAAUCAAUCAGUGCACCUAACCUUCCAAAUAAGUUCCUUGGUAAUGCAUUUCCAGAGAUUUGGAACACUGAGCUUAGGCAAUAACGAGACGGAAACAAUAUCAUAUAUCAACCAUUUCAGCAUUAGCUUUUACAUAUUUUCCAAGUAUGUUCAAAACAAAUUUAAGUGGUAAUAUCAAAGGUUCAUAUUAUUGCCAAGAACAGGUUUCUGAUAUUUACUGAGCUUCAAAAGGAGACAUUGGAACACAGCACCUAGAGUAGAACAUGAGUAGUAUUUUACCAAGAAUGAGAUACAUAGAAGCAGGAACUCCAGUCACAGCUCCCGUUGAAUCAACCUCCCAUGUUGCAGCUGCCUUCAAACCUGAAACAAGAUAAUCAAUGAAUGGAAAUUAAGCAGAUUUAGUCAGAAACUACAAGCAGGUGCUACCACCAAUGGAACUUAACACUGAACUAGACAACAUUGCCCCACAAGUCAACACUAGACAAAAUUGUUCCAAAACUAAGCCUUCUAUGCCAGGAAGUCUGGAACAUAAUGCUGAAAUUUGAUAGUAUGUGGUUUUCUUGUAUCAUGCAGCUACUUGAAAAAAAGUCAGGAUGAUAUACCAGAGAAAGUAUCAUUCACAAAUGCAAGUCUGAGUUAAGAAAAAUGCAGAGAUGUGUUUCUUAAGUCUAUCCACAAUAAUGGUGUAUAACAUGCCAAUAUGAAAUAACACUAAUAGUCCAAUGAGAGUUUACCUAUUAGUUAUUAGUUUCAACAAAAUAAUACUCAAAUUAUGUUUGUACGAGAUAUCCAGCAAUGUGGUGUAAGAAAGAGAAACCCUAGUCUGUUAAUUGGCAGCACCAUGCAGUUUCCAACAUUACAUGUUCUUCCACUAACAAAGGUUCAGGUUCCCCGAAUUGGACUGCUCUAACCUUUCAAUCAGUCAUAGUCACUUCCAUCCUACUCCCAGUCAGCUGUGCUGAAGGAGAGAGCUGCCAAGGUAGUCCACCUGCUGGAGAACAUCAGGCAAGUGUUUUUCUAGUGUUCUAUUAUUCUCUUUUACUUCUAUUAUCUAAUUAGUGCUGUCAAAAGGCCUGUGCUAGCAGACCAUGAAUCGUUCUCUUUAUAAUAGCCCUAGCAUCACUUAAAUCACUGCUCUAGAUACAGUAGCAACAGCAACAACACUAUUCCUUUCUGAUAAGUCAGGGUUAGAUGAUAAGUACUUCAUCCCAGUUCCAUGAUGGCAAAUCAUUAGUGAUUUACAACCUGUUUGCUAGUUACUUUAUUAUUCCUUUUUUUAAUAGAUAUGGAGCCAAAUAAAAAUGGCUUCAUGUAUGUAUAUAUCAAGAAUGUCCAACAUAAGGCCAGAGAAUACCAGGUUGUUAUGCAGAGUCUAGUGUAUUUUUAAUAAAGAAACAUGUACUGAUGUACAAAUUCACAUAGUUUCUAUUUAGACAUUCUGGAGUUACAACAAAGUACAAACAAUAGCAGACUUAAUGACUUAUAUUGCAGAAACUGAUAAUAAUAGCAUCACAAGAUUUCAAGAACUCUAAAACUUAGUCUUUAUUUUUCUGACUUGUCAGUCCAUGCAAUGGCAUUUUUUGUUUCUGUUUUAUGUACACAUGCUAAAGAAAUACUACCUAAUGAGCCCAAUUCAGAAAGUUGUUUAUUAGUUGAUGCACCCAUGUUGAUUAUUUGUUAUUUGCAACCAAGAUUAUUGUGCAACUCCGCAAAAGUUGUCAGAGGCCAAACCACAAAUGUGGUACCAGCAUGCAUCAUGCAGCUAUGCUAGAAUGUUGGCAUACUAGCCAACAUAUACCAAGCCAUUGUAGAAAGGCAUCAACAUAGCCAUCAUGCUACAAAGGACAAUCGUCGGCUGAAACUAGUAUUACUCAUGAAUACAUCUAGAACAUAAGAAAGCUCCUACCUUGAACUUUAUGUGGUUCAUAUCAGAGAGAUAUGCUAGUUGAAGGCAAGUCUUCAGAGAGUGAUUUAAUUUUUAAAGAAAGCAUCUUAGAGCAAUUAAAUAAAGGCCAACCUUUGAACCCCACUAAUCAAGUCCCAGUUAGCAAAAAAAAAGAGAGAAACCUUCAUAUUUAAAUUAGUGUUCAGGUAACUGUGUUAUGUCAAUCAUUUUAAGACAAAAAACCGCCAUGAACUGAUUGAAUUAUUACAAUACAGAAAGAUGAUAUUUCAAUUUGAUGCAAAAGCUUUAUUUAAUCUACUUGCCAGAUAACUCCAAUGAGGUAUGUCAACACAAAAGGCAAGGGUUACAAUAAGCAUGACUCUUGAAUUUAAAUAGUCUUCUACAUACAGCUGUGCUUUGGUUGCCAAAGGUAUGUCGCAUACCAUGAUUACAAAAAUCAAUUCCAGGAACAAGGCCCUCAACCCAGACAGUCUCUGCACUGGCUAAUUUGUAAGCACCAUCAGCCGUGUUCUCCACGAUAACAUGAUCCUAAUAUAAAAACCCAUGAAUUACCAGAUUGACCUUAUGAAAAUAAAUAAAAAGGUAGGAUAAUAGCAAAACCUUCUAAAAUAGGCACCCUCUUGAGUAAAAUACAGUGAAAAACCACACAGAAACCACAGAUUCUUUAUCGUUAACUACCAUACAAGAGAGACAAAUAACAGCAGAAAUGACAACCUCACUUUUGACGUUCAGUGAAUGAAUAGAUGUUUCACCAGAAUUUCCAGUUACAGUAGCAUCGGCUUCACUGCUACAGGACAGAGAACUUUUGCCUUGCUCAUCUAGUGACUCAGGGAAGACAUAAGAACGAGGAAAUGGUAUAUUCAAAGCUCUAGUCCAAAAUAUGCAAUUUGCCCUGUCAAAGUUAUGUGAGAAGGCAGUUUGAAAGAAGGCUAAAGAUGUGUAUAACUUGAGUCUGAGAACUAAAAUUUCCCUUUAACAAAAUAGAAAAGACACAACUAGAAUAUUGUUGAUGCUACCUAAGAAAGUGACUGUGCUCUUGCAUUUUAAAAACAAAUUAGUUAUGAUAUUUAUAAGUUCAGUGUAGCCCUGUUUAGGUAUAGCAAGAUUCUUUCACAUUCAAGAAAAGAUGGUAAUAAUAUGGAUCAAUGUAAUCACAUUGAUAUUCUAAAGGUAGAUGAUAUGCAACUUGGCAUAUCAUGUUACAGUAAGUUUAUGGUGAUAUUUAUGUUAAUAAUUGACUCUUUUAUAUAUGAACUAGAAUGAGCCCAUAGUAGAAGAAAAGAUUGCUAUAAUUACAAUGCAUUUCCAGGACAUAUCAUAAAUUAGAUGCAAUCAACUUUGCUAUAUCAAUUAAUUGAAAUUCUUAUGAUGGACAUACAACCAUUUAUUAUGCUUUUAACUGGUUAUAUAAUACUUGUGGAUGAACAAAAAUGUGUAUUUGCAACAUGUAAUUUCACACAUUUAUUUUUCUUGAGAAUUCAGCCUCCAUGUAAUUAUGAGAUGCUUUUUUAUGUUCAUGAUUUGUCUCUGCUGUACAUAUAUACCUAAAUGUAUUCUGAUUUCUAUUUUUUAUAAACUAUUUUGUUGAAGUAUAUGUUUUAGGAUGACAAGACACGUAUGUUCACAGGAGUCAAUUCUGGAACUCGGUGUAUCCAGAAUGUUUAUGCAUCCAUCACCAAUCAUUGAGCCAUUAGCAUAGAAGAUACAUUGUUAUAACUUAUAACCGCUGUCGGUGUUUCGAUGGACUGACUUCCGUGUUUUUGAUGAUAUGUCAUAUAUAAUGUAUGGGCUUGAUAUUCCUCUAAGGAACUCGGUGUAUCUAACUCUAUUUUUGUGGCCAAUUCAGGGUCUAAGAGGAUCGAUGUACACUGCUUUCCCUCGAACUCCAAUCUCCCAGGUUGUAAAGGACCAUUAUUGUCGUACCAAGGUCUGUCCUCAUCUAAUGACAGAUAAAUUAUAAGUUAUUGGAUGAUAACUUCAUAAUUAUGAUUGUGAAGACCAUUACAGAGAGUUGCAUUAAAUCAAAUAAUGAAAGGGGUAUCACAAUUUUUUUGUGCACUACAGCUCACUAAAGACACUCAUGUAUCAGAAAACUUUCAAUUAAAUGGGGAGCAUCUUGCAUUCUGAUUGGAGUAAAUAUUGAAAACUAUAGUUUUAUGAUGUAAAAACAACUAGCCAUUUGGAGUAAAUGACACGAGGAAAUACUUGCAAAGUUUAACAUCUAUCACAUCUCUCAAUGGUUAGACAUCUAAAAAGAUAGCUUGUUGAAAGCAAAUGACUUCAUGCUUGGUCUUUUGGACUUUCAUAGAUCAAACAUGUGAACUAAUAUAAACAAAUGGGUUGUAUUAUUCUAAGCCCAAAUUUAGGUCUAGGAUCUUAUUUGACGAAAGCCUGGACUCAAUGAUGUAUUUUAUGAUGUUCAAAAACUAUAAAUUCUUUUAAACAAACAUAUCAAUAAUUAUGAAAUAUCAAUUAGAAAAAUAAGACCAACAAAAAAUAGUAAAGCAUCACGUCUUACAAUCACAAACAAAAAACAAGUUGCAUUUUUAUGAGACAUAAGUAAUUAAUCUACAUAUGCCUCCACUGAUUCACCCGAACAUGUUCAAGAAACAAAUAUCAUACUCAUAUUAACCAAAAUUUUUGAAAAUAAGGGACUACCACAGGAAACAAUUUUCUAAAAUAAGGUAAUAAGAAAAGAAGAGUUUUCUAAAUUAAAUAUAAAAUAGCAUCCUUUGUUUUAUGUAUUCUUCAGAGUCAAACACCAUAAUCAGUUUUACUUUUUGUAUCCUGUAUAGUGAUUAUCACAUAUAACUCAUUACAGAACAUGAAAAGGAUUUUAACAAAUCAACAGGUUGAUAUAAGCAAAAAUACAACAAAAUUUGGAUCUUCUCAUACAAGUCCUCAUAUCACCCCUGAUACGGACCUAUUUGUUAUGAUCCUAUAGGGUCCCAAUCCAAGGUAGCAACAGUUGUUUCAAGGCCAUUUUGAUCUAUAUCAUAAAAUGGAGCAUCAUUCAAUUGUAAGAUCCCAACAAAUUUGAGCACCAAUUUUCUUCAUUUUUUAUUCCAAACUACAGAAUUAGAAUCAAAAUCCAAAUAAGAUUAUCUUCAUCAUUAAAGAAUUGCUUGAACUGGCAUGAUUUUAAUACAUUAACAAGCCCAACUUUUACCAUUGAACUUCUGUUGAAUCAAAAACUGAACAUUUGCAGAUCUGCAUUAGAACUCUUUAAAAAUUGCACAAGCACACAUUAGAAUUGGCCUUAGGACUUACUAGUAUAUUAAUCACUUAAGUAGUUUCUUUAUGCCAAUGUUUGCUAGUCAAUAUAAGCAUGAUAAGCAUACCUACUGAAUGGUCAGUGCUUAAACCAAAAGUUCUGCAGUCUUCAUCAAAGAGAAUUUCCAAACGGAUUUCUGGAUAAACCAUAUACAACAUACUAUGCAAUUUAAAUUUGUAGGUCUAUCUAAAAAAAGAAACAAUCAACUUAUAACUUGCAUCAAAAUUAUACCCUAAAACUAGGAACUGCAGUCGAUGUACAAGGAUUGAAGAUAAUGAAAUGUCAGUUAUUUUAUUCCAUGAUUAGCUGCAACAAAUAAAUGUCUAAUACAGAAUAAGUGUGUAAAUUAUAGCAACAUCUAGCAAGAAUAUAAGAAUUCAUACCAAAGGAAGUCUUCGAACUGCACUUCAAUGGUUCUGGCAAAUCAUUAAGCAGAUUGUGGAAAUUAGUAGCAAGCUCAGUAAAAUCCUAGAGAAGAAUUCCGGAGAAGAAAAUUUAAAAGAAGAAAUAACUAAUCUUUUACCACAGGUCUUAGGCAUACUUAGAUUAAGCAUGGUAGAUACAACCAAAAUGCCUUUACAAAGUAAAAUAAUUAUUCACUCCUGUAGAACUUUUAGUAGGAAUGCUAACAGUUCACAAGGGCACAUAUUAUUUAAAGAAACUUCAUCACGAUCCCAAACCAUUAAUUUCCAACUGAAUAGCAUUAUAUGAGAUGGAAAACUCAUAUCUUAAACAUAUUACCAAAAAAAAACCUAAUUAAUAUGUAAAACUUAAAAUUUACAAGAAACAAUGGCUAAACAAUUUAGACUCAAGGGGUCUCUAUCGAGAGGUUGAUUAGGCCAUUGUUGCGCAAGUGAUAGGUCUCAAGUUCGAGUCCACAUAUGGGCGUCAUGUAUGCUAUUUGAUAUAAUGAAAAUUUAUUCUAUUUUUUUAAAAGAAAGUAGACUCAAAGGCCUCUUACUAAUGAUAUUAUAGCAGUAUAAAUAGCAUGAUAGUAUACAUAAACUGAAUGCUCAUAUUACAAACACUAUAGCAACAUCAGACAGAAUUAGAUGGCACAACAACUAAAAAAAGAAUAAGAGAGAUCUCCCUAAUUAUUCCCAAGUUGGGGUAUGUAUAAAAGUUGAGAAUAAAGUUUCUGUAAUUAGGAGGAUGUAAUAGACUGUGUAGUACCCAACAAUGCUUUGACGUUUGUGUGUUUGAUCGAGUACAACAGAGUGAGCUUAAAAAUUAGCUACUCUCAGUAAUAGAUAUAAAACGAUCCCAAGCCUUAACAAAUUUGUGUAUGGUUUUUUUUUUUUCUUUUUCAUUCUAAAAUGUCAAGUUUGUGAUAUGACACACAAACAUAACAAUCUCGAAAACCAUUAUUCUUGAAUAUUUUUUUAUAUUUUAGAGUUCAAUAAAAAGUGAUCACAAGCAUCAGACUGACAGAAAUAGACAGUUGUGGCUUCAAUAGGAAGAGACUUCAAAAAAAAUAAAAAAACCUUCUAAGGUGACCAAAAUCUUUAGAAGAUUAAUUUCAAGUUUAGAGAAUUUUAACCCACCUAUCUGAAUCUCUGUCGGUUUGCAGAAGCUCCUCAACGAGGCUUUUGACCUUGUCAUUAAAUAGAGCUCUCAAUUGUUUUUGCUGCAUCAUAAAAAACAACCUAGCAAUGACUAACAAUCUAAACUAUGUAGCUACAGUUCUAAAAUGGCAUCAAUGAGAACAUUCUAAUACCUGUACCAAUGUGGCUCGGUACAAUGUUGUUCCUCUCAACUCAGCAAGUUCAUCUUCCGUAAACCAAAGAGUACUCUCAAAGGUGCUUGGAAGCAAAUCAAGGUACCUACCACAAAAACAAUCAGAAAAUGCAUGCUUCAAAGUACCUACACUUGAACCUUAACUUCAGAUGAAACAUAUUUUGUGUGUUCCCAAGCAUAGGCGACAAGUAUAAUGAAAACAUGAUUCUCGAUCUCUCAAGUAGAAUCUCUAAGGGCAAAAAGGUAACUUGCGAUGGAGGAUAGAAUCCCUACGGCUUCCACACCGAGUUCGGAAGCACGCGUUCCACCAUAAGAAACACCAUCAUGAGGAAACGGUCGUCGACGUCGCCCUCCUCGAACAAGGCCCUGCAUCUCGGCCCAACCAACCGGUCUUGGAGAACCCUCAUGGGCGUGAUAGCCAAAUCGAGCGGAACAACCAUGACGAUACCUACGAAAUCGUUCAAGCUUUAGUGUAAACUCGUUUAAACAUGGUCAAACUGACACCAACCACAUCGUUCGAGACUAGGGUUUUGCGCGAAAAUUCGCGCAGAGCAAAUGGGAAAUCGAGAUGAUUACCGUCGCCAAUGUUGCCGGUGGUGGCGAAGACGCCGAAGCCCUUGUCGGGUCCACAGUAUCGGAUGCAGCAGCCUCGCAGCUCCACACUGUUGGCCUACGAUUCCGUUCCAAGAAGUGAUGUUCGCUACACGGAUCAAACGACUCCAGCAAAGAGAAGCACAAAGACCGAUGAACGGGGGGGAAGAGAGAGAGACCUGAAGCCAUUGGAGGAAGCAGUGAAGCUUAGCUUCUUGUUGGUGGGGAACCGAGGCGGCCAUGCCGCUUUGGGAGCUUAGCGAGAGAGGGCUUUAGGGAGAUAGUGCUGACACACGAUAAGAGAUGUGUUAUAAAAUGCAUGAGCACAACUUACCGGCACGAGGGGCGAUUUAUCAUGAAACCCCCCAAGUUUUCAGAAAUGUCCAAAGAGUAUCAAAAAUAAAUGUUUGGGCAAUUUGGAAAAACCGAUAAUAAUAAUAAUAAUAAUAAGCUUUUUUAUAAUAAUAAUAAGCUUUCAUUCCUCUUUACAAUAUUUACUGAGGCAGUCCAAUGUACUCAAAUAUCCAAAAAAAGAAAAGAAAAAUACCAUGAAUCUAAUGAUUCAUCCUUCAUCAAAUUAGACUUAAAAAAUCUUAAAAUAACAAAAAAAAAUAGAGUAAUUAUGUAUAUUAUGUUUUCCUUCUAUUGUGAAAAUUUUAAGAUGAAUUAGAUAAAUUUUAUGGUGUUACACUUAUAAACAAGUUAAGUGAAAAUUAUAUGUCAAAUUGGACUAUGAAAACUUAUAAAAUUAAUAAAAAAAUAUAAAAAAAUAACAGAGUAAAUAUGUAUAUAAAAGUGGGAUAAGCCCUUCUAAUGCCAAAUUUGGAUUUUUUUUAAGUACACGAGACAAAUAUAAUACAAAUAUCAACUCUAUUGAUUUUUUUAUUUCAAUAUAAUUUUUGAGAAUUUUAAAAAAAUAAAAUCCCAAUAUAUUCACACUCAAGCCAUAUAAAAUUAUACAAUAAUCUUCACAGGCCAAAUGACAUACUUCUCCAAAGGGGAAAGAUGGAUUCUCCAUUAUGAAUGGUUUUUUUCAGUAAAUUAUCCAAGUAUUUAAGUUUUAUGCUAACUUUUACACUUUUAAACCCUCAAUCUCAACACUUAUUUUAUCUCUUUUUAAAAAUUAAACUUUAAUAUUGUUCAUAAUUAUUAAUACGAGUUAUUGGAAAGGUAUGGAUGGAAGCUUAAAAUGUCUUUUAUAUAUAUAUAUAUAUAUAUAUAUAUGUUAAGGUCUAUUUUAACCAUUGUAGUUUUGUUUAUGGAUCACUUAAGUUCUUAUAGUUUAUUAGUGUCUAAAAUAAUCUUUGUAUUUUUAAAAACGUAAUAUAUAAAUCCUUUCUAUCAAGUUUGAGUUAACAAAAAUUAAAGUUUGCUUACGUUAUAUGUUGACUCACAAUAAAUCAUUAAUAUAAUGACACGUAUAAUUUAAGUUUUAAAAAUGAUUAAAAUUUAUCUUGUUAAGGAAGAGAAAGCGAUGAAAAUCGUAACGAUAGAUGAAAAUGGAAAGGCAAAGGUAGGAGAGGACGAAGGCGAAGGUGAUGGAGAGUUAGACCACCACGUCAUAGGAGUGAUGGAUGAGGGUAUAGGAGAGAACGACAUGGGAGACGGUGAGGAUGAAGACGCCCAAGGAGAGAAAAAGGGAUCAAGAGACUAUCAUAUGCUUAGCGUCAAACUAGUCGAUGCACAUCUACCUAAGGUAGUACCAGAAGCUCUUAAGCUCGUUAUUAGUGUAGGAGAGGCUAUGUGCGUGCGACACCUUGCUAAGUAGCAACGGCUCGGUGCUACUACUGGUGGUCGCUUUCAUGACGACGCAUUCUCACACCAUUGAUGGCGGUAUUUAUUUUUUUAAAAUUUAAAUUAUAUGUGUUAUUAAAUUAAUGAUUUAUCGUUAGUUAACAACAUGCUACGUAAGGAAACUCUAACGAUUGUAAACUCAUACUUGACGAAAGGGGCUUAUAUGUUAUAUUUUUAAAAAUAUAAGAGUUAUUUUAGGUACGAAUAAAUUAUAAGAGUUUAAGUGAUGGUCAAAACUAUAAGGGCUAAAAUAGAUCUCAACAUUAAAAUUUUGAGGGGUAAAUAUUAUAUUUCUUAACCUUCAAAGGAUAUAUAUGUAAGAAGCUAUCUGCCUUCGUUUAGGUUUCGAGCCGACCUCUCACCCGACCAAAUCAAACCGGCCGUGGUUCAUCUCGUUGUUGUUUCCCUUCAGUCUCUCCCGGCUGCCGGAACGAAAUCCUUAAGCGGGUGCAAGCGGCGACGAUGGGUGGGAAGGGCAAGAAGAGGCGGGAGAAGAACUACCGAUCCGCUCACGGCGGGGAUACGCGCCUCCCGCCGCCUCCCAGCGUCAAGGAGAUGGAGGCCAUCCCCUCCAAGCUCCGCAAGAUUAUGGAGCUCAAGAACCUCAAUUCGUCUUCCGCCAAGCCAGGUGGUCGCUUGCUCCCCUUCCCCCUUCCACAAACCUCUGCCGUUCCCCCCAGUCGUUCUUUUAAAUACCUCGCCUGUUAUUGACGCUUUCAGAUGUUUUUAGGGCCUGCGCCAACCCCCAAAGACGCGGGUAAAGAGAAGAGAAAGGAAAGAAGCGCCGUCGAGAAGGUAAACAAAAUACGUUUUUGAUGAUAAAAACGCUUGAUUUUGUCUGAGAAAUAUGGGUAGUUAAUUUGAAGCAAGAAUAUCCUGGUAAAAUUCUGGGCUUUCAUAACCAUCGUAAUGCCAAAUCCAUGAAGCCUACUCAAAUCCAUAGAAAUGGGAUAGUCUUAUACUGAUGUUUUUGUGUAUUUUGCUGCCAUGCACAUAGUUAUAUUCUUGAAAUUAUAGCCAGUUUCUUUUGCUCGGCUAAACAAUCCGAAACUCCUCGAAUUGGUUUUCGUCUGCUGGUUGUAGUAUCUUCGUUAGCUCGCAUGCAGUUUUUAUAAUUUUUUGAUGUGGUUUGCAUUGAUUUACUGACACUUGUAUCAAAUUGAUACUAAUUCAUUGUAAUUACAGAAAGUGAACACAAAAGAAGAGCCUUCUUCCGAGUUCAGUUCUGUGACCAAAGAAGGCAUCCAGGGAAUGAAGGACAAAGAUAUAGAUGACAAAGAUGCAACCACGACACCAAGCUUAGGUAACGAGAGAAAAAGGAAACGGAAAAAGAAUGCACCCAAGGAUCUCCGUUUUCAAGAAUUAGAUCAAGCUGCUGCUACCACAAGGAAGAAAAAACGCAAAGAGUAAGCUUAUUAUUUACUUAUUUGUUCGAUUUUGAUGAAUAUAUUGGCUUGUAAGAGGAUCUGGAAACUUUCCACAAUUACAUCCAUGAUAUUUCCUAUUAGGUCAAGUUAAGUUGUGGUCUCCAAGCUUUUCUUCAUUUUUUGAAACAUAAGUGUACCGUUAACUCUUAUUGUUUACUCAUUAAUGAUCUUCCUUGAAUAUAUUUUUGAGGAUGUGGACAAGAAUAGGACUGGUUGCAAGAUCACAUUUAAGGCACGAGAAAUAAUUCUUAGGAUUAGUUUUGUUUUCGUUGGCUUUUGAAAUUUAGCUCCGCUUAUGUCCAAAAUCUUUUUAGUAAGCCAUCACGUUUUGCAACAAUGCUGGAAAAGCUAUAGUCAACUGUUAACACUCAGUGUUGCGGCUAAAAAUUGCUAAUGCACUGAUCUAUUAUGCUAUUUCUUCUGGAAUUCUUGGAUUCUAGGAUUUAACUCAGUAGUAUAUUUAUGUAAGAAUUUUAGAAGUUUUCUGAGUUUUUGUUAUAAGGUUUUUAGGAUAAGUUACCUUUUAAAAUUCUAACCAUGAUGUAUUAUAUUUGUCAUUGAACAUGUAUUAAUUUGUGAAAUGCUUGAACUCUGUCUGCCGGAUUCUUUUAUCAAAUGUAUAUUGACAUCCAUCAGCAUUCAGAUCCAUGAAUUCACAGUUGAUAAUUAUCUGCUCGUCUUUCAACUGGUAAUAUUCAAACAAAAACAGUAGUUUGAACUUGGAAUUUGACAUUUAUCUACACAUUUAACUAGUGAAAAACUCUGCGCUUUGCAGGGUGCAUGCCGUUGGUUGAAUGAAAUAGAUUAGUUGUCUGCUGAAGCAUGAUUAAUAGUAUAAUUUGGUUGUUUCUUUUUCAUUUUCUUACUUGGACUUGCAUAUCACAACUCGAAGAAGGCUGUAUUCUCACUCCUUUCUGUUUUUCUUAUUUGCUAGGUAUCUUGAGGCCAGGAGAAAGAAAAAUAAGAAAGCAAAGACAGAUGGUGUUGUAGACUUCCCUGGGCGUGAAGAGAUCAAGUUUGGCGAAGUUGUUGAGGCUCCACCUAAGUUAUCAGUUCCUAAGGUAAUAUUUUGGAGUUCGAUUGUUUCUUUGUGUGUUAUCGUGAAAUAAACCUGAGAUCUAAUAGUUUUGGUGAUGAUUUUUUUUGUGUUUUUGCAGAAGUCUUUAAAGAUUCCCCAUGAUGCUUUUCACGAAAGAAUCAGGUUAGAGGCUAUUGAAGCUUACAGGAAUCAGCGAGGAUGGACAUCCAGACCCGGUGUCCAAAUUCCUGUUCUGCAAAAUCCAUCGUCGUGACUUGUGACUCAGAGGUUACAGGUGCCUAGGAUUUAAGUUGAUGCCGUCGAACUUAGCUUCUGGUACUUUUCCGGAGUUGUCACUAACUUUUUCGGAACUUAUGCUGUCUGUUUUUGCUGGACCUUCACACAAGCGUGUGCUAAUUUUCGCAUCUAUGGGCAAGCAAGUGUAUCUUCAGUUUUUUCUGUUGCUUGUAUCGAAAACUCAAUAUAAGCAAAUUGUUCAGAUAAUUUUCGUCUUUGUUAAAUUAAUAUUAUUACUUUGUUCUUAUCUGGUCAAAAUUUAAUGUGUGGUUGGAUGAGACAUGCAAUCUUUCGCCAUGGUUUCGGUCUCUGAUCUUUCUGAUCUUGUAAUAUGCUCGUUAUGGAAUUCUGAUACCAUGCCAUAUGAUUGGGAAAAAUGAGUCCUGUCAUUUAAUUACCUUCUCGAUUCCUUUUAUCACGUGAAUCAUGAUUUAGAAGCACUAAGUUCUCCGAGGAAUGUUACAUGAUUCGGCUCAAUCUGGUUGUUAUUGUCCACCAUCUUAUAAGUCAGCUUAGUAUUCAUCCAAGAACAGUAAAGAACUGAACAAACACCAUGAGGUACUAUAAAAUUUGCAAAGAUCAAUUAAAAUUUUAAGACGCACAGAUUGAUCAAUUAAAAUUUGCAAAGAUCUCAUCACAAAUAACAAAAACACUUAAAUCCACAGGGCUGAAUGGCGUGGAACAAAAUUGGUAUAAAACCAUCUCAGCCACAUGGAGAAGAAAAGAAUUGUAGUCAAUUAUGCUUAUUAUACCUUUAAUCCCUCGAUCAAAGAGAUGAAAAAAAUAAACAGUAAAAAUUUCAGAUACUGAUGUGGUAAUGUACCAAACUGUGCACUUUCACUUCCACCUGUUAAAUCUGUUAGGACCACCACUACUAGCUUUUCGUCGGCCACGGCCUCCACCGAUGAAACCACCACCACCGUUUCUUCUAUUUGAACUGCUGUUGCCACCUCUACCACCAGAGAAUCUGCCACCGCCAAACCUUCCUCGGCCCGAGUUGCCACCUUUCGACCGAUCUGUGUCUUGCAAAGGGGGCAAUUUUUCCAGGACCUCAAUGGACACCGACUGAGCAUUUUCUUGGCCUGCAAGACCAGAAGACAGAAAAGCAACAAAAAGUUUACAUCAUAUAUCCACAUCAGUCACAUGAAACAAUGAAAACAGAAUACAAGCAGAAGGAUGGCAAAGCCACAACAAUUGGUGAAGAUUAUAUGUAGUGCAAGGAAGAGCAUCGCUGAUUAAGAGAAAUCCAGAACCAACAAUUCUCUUCUAUGAUUGUUUUAAGUUAUAAUAUGUUCCAUGUAACUGUGCUCAUUAUUGUUUUACAAACUUAUAUUUUUUUUCACACAUGAGUAAUAAGCAAAAACUGCGAUAUUACUCCACAUGCAGAAGAGACAAAGAGAUGGUGAUCCUUACGGCAAAAAGUUUCCUAUUAAGUUACUAAACGAAUUUAGCCACCACAUAUGAAGAACUAGCAGCAAAAAUCCAGAACCUACAAAUUCUCUUCUAUGAUUCUGUGCAUAUGUUCCGUGCAACGGUGCUCAUUUUUGUUUUAAGAACUUGUAUUUGUUUCAUACACGAGUUAUAACCAAAAACUGAUGGUACUCCGCAGGCAGAAGACACGCAGAGAAGGUGAAUCUUGGGGCAAAAGUUUCCUAUGAAGUUACUAAACGCAUUUAGCCACUUCAAAUGAAGAAUUAGCAGCACAACUGAGAAAAGCUUAAAAUGAAAGACCAUCAGCAUACCUUCAAGAAAUGCAUUUACAUCAUCAGCAGGUACAUCAAACACUGCACCUGUGCCAUCAGCAGUAAGAGAAAGGCCUUUAACACCUUCAAUCUUCUCAUCAGGCAAGAAUCUUCUGAACGUACUAAAAGCAAACCUGACAAAAAAUUUAUGAUCAUGUACAAAUGAAACUUAAAUUAGCAAAUUGAAGUACAUAACAUACAUUAUCAUUAGGAUACUACGAUACUUUUAUCAAAUUGGAGACAUUAUCACUAGAAUAUUAUCAUCAAAAGUCAAAACCUAUAAACAAAAGAAUCUUCAUAAAAUUCAAACUCAAUGAGUAUCUUAAAAAACGACAGCACUUACGAAGGUGAAUAGAUUAUCUUUCCUGUCUGAAGAAGUAAUGUCACGUAAUUCUCCAUAGAAGAGAGAAGUGACCUCUUUUUUAUGUCAGUGAAACCCUGUUAUAGAAGAACAUAAUGCAACCAAGGAUCACCAAUUCAGUUCAAGGAUUAUAUAGCUUUUGCAAGCAGAGAGAAUUGACUUACAACAGCCUUGGCAAGGGCUUUUGCUAGUAAAUCCACUGCUGAUAAUUCAGAGGAGCUUAACAGCUGCUCUGCUUGUGAACGGAAAAUUGGAAUAACACUGCAUUUUAACCAAAUAUAUGCUUAGGUCAACAGUAAACUAUAACAUAAUUGAGGCAUUUCUUAAUAUGAGAUAUAGCAGCUUACCUGUCGGAGACAUUUGAAAUAGCAUCAGCUGCUUCAGAUCCAGCUGAUUCAGCAAUAUCAGCAGGCUGAGGGGCAGAUAUAUGCUCAAACUUAACACCUGACUCUCUCUCUAUUCUAGAAACACUAAACGAGUGUUUGGGUUCAUAAAGCAAAAUAGCAACACCGGUAUUUCCUGAAAGAGGCAUCUCUUAGCAUCUCAUUAACAUCGAAAGUCAAGAUUGAUAUGGGAAAGCUUAAAGGUUUACCAGCUCUUCCAGUUCGCCCUGAUCGAUGAAUGUAAGCUUCAACAUCAUGUGGGGGUUCGCACUGAAAAAUUAAUCAAUGUUCAUUACUUAUUACGACCAAACAUGUGCCUCGGUAAUUAAUGAAACCACUUCUGGGACACAAAAAUGCACCUGUAUAAUCAACUGCACAUCAUUUAUGUCUAAGCCACGUGCUGCCACAUUUGUAGCAACUAAAACUAAAAACCUGCCUGACCUAAAUCCAGCAAGUAUGACCUGCACGAUACCAGGUCCUAAUAGAUAAACUGACAAAGAAAAACCAACAAACACAAUCUGAUUCUAAAUUAAGUAUAUGUCUUUGUCAUCAUUUCUACUUACCUCACGUUGUGCUUGCAUUAUGUCCCCAUGCAAAGCACGUGCACCAGGUAAUAACCCAGCAAGUUCAGAUGCAGAUUCUUUUGUCUCGGUGAAAAUGAUGGUUCGGCCACCACUACGAAAAAAUUCACACAUCCUAUUUAGGAACCAGGAAAAAGAGAGUAAAUAGAAAAAUACUUUACUGGUCAAAAAAUUACAAACCGGCUAUAACAACGGAUAAUAUCGGGAAUAAGUUGUGGUCUUGCUGAACGAGUACAAGGAAGAACAAGAUGUCUAACAUUGGCGCUAGCCUUCAAUUUCUCAUUGCCAACAAGAUCAGCUGUUUUCUUAUCUUGCUUUAGAAAUCGUGUAGAUAUCUGGAAGCAUUUCAAACGGUCUUAAAAGAAGAAAAAAGAAAUUCAAGCAUAUUAUUCAUUAAGAUCCAAGGUUUCAAAUCUUAUUUGACUGUUACGUGCCAACUGGCAUUGUAUGGAAUGCUUCAUUGUACCCAUAAUCAUCUACUAAAAAUUGUUUAGUGUGCCUAUAGACUAAUAUACCAAUAUAGUAUCCUCAACAUACCAUGGUAUUUGAAACCACACUUAGAUCCUUUAAUGAAAUUUGUAUGAGAAAGGGGCAAACUAAGAAUAAAUUUGAUCCACAGACCUUCUUUACCCAGUCAGGCAGGGUAGCACUGAAGAGAAGUGUUUGAACUUUGCUAGUAUCCUCAACUUUACCUGCAAAACAAGAAUAGAAAAAGAACACUGAGUUAACAUUAACCAGGUAAUGUCAAUACACAUAAUUCAUCCAUAACUAUAAUCAGGUACAAGCUGUAGGUCUGGAAUCCCAAACUGCAGAGAUAAAUAUCAAGAUAAAACCAAUGAAUCCAAUACAGGUGCAUAUUAGAAAAGAAAAAAAACCCAUAGCAAUAUUGAUCAAGCAUUUAUCUGAACUUGCAUUGAGCAACAUGAACUUUAACAAGCCUUUCAGAUGGUUAACAAUAAAACCAACAACAACAAACAUUAAUAAACAAUUUUUGUAUCUGAUGCAAUAAAAAGUUUCCAUAUGAAAAGAUAAAGAUCAGCAUUAGCCUAGGCAUGAUUAAUUUAUAUGCAAUACCAGAAUUGUGACUAACCAACACUGUUGGCAGAUCUAACACAACAUCUAAUUAUAUUUAAAGUAUCAUAGAAGUCACUUUUACAACUUAUAAAAUGCAGGGGUAGAUAACCGGUGCAAACAUUGUGAAGAGAAGAUCCAUACCAAGAAUUAGUUCCACAUCAUCGACAAAACCCAUAUUUAACAUUUCAUCUGCUUCAUCAAGGACACGGAACUUUAAAGCCUUCAGGUCAAGGUUCCCCCUUUCAAUGUGAUCCUGUAAGGAGGAAAGAUGUCUUUACUCGAAACAAAGUUUUAAGAGCCAACAAAGAUUAUGAAGCCAUGCAAGAAAGAAAAUAACUUUUAUGCGUCCGGGAGUCCCAACAAUGAUAUCAACUCCUCGCCUUAGUGAAAUUUCUUGAGUACGGUAAGGGGAUCCACCAUAUAAACAGCAUGAAGAUAAACCUACUGUCCCACCAUAGACCUCAAAGUCUGAAUAAACCUGGAUUUGGAUUUAUUUCCAUCAAGUUCCAAGAUAAAGAAACACCAAAAUACUUGCAAAUUUAUCAUAGGCAAUAAAAAAACCUAAAGAUACCUGAUUUGCUAGCUCACGAGUUGGAAGAAGUACCAAAACACUUGGGGGUCUCCCAUAACCACUCUUCCUUGAUGCCUUAUGCACUCCAUUGGUCAGUGACUCCAAUAUAGGCAACACAAAAGCCAAGGUUUUACCCUGCAAAUACGGACAGACAUAAGAUACCAUAACUAGGCAAUAUAUAUUAUUUAUAGAUAUCAGUAAGUAUAGUGCAGCAAGUCAGCAUGAACAUCAGUGAUACAUAGGAAAAAAAUACAAUAUUUCGUUUUAAAGCAUAUGAGAAUGACAGCAGCAACAACACAAUCCUUGGUGCCAUUUUUGUAGACACUUGGAUCUUUUUGCCCAAAUGAAUCUGUCGAUGACAAUAUUACUAUCCGAUUUCACACAAGAUAAUGCACGAGUUUUUUGGAUAGAGUUUGAACCAGGUCACCCAAAUCAGAUCAGGAAAUCAAUUAACAAACUACAAAUUUGCAGGGAUUAGUUUAGAGUUGGCCACAACCAAGAAAGCAAAUUCUUGUCAGAUGAUUCCAACCGAGUUACAUAUCUGGACAUUUCAAGCUAAAACCAAAUAUAUCAGAUGGUUUUUGCCAAUUUUAGCCCAUCAAUCUGGGUCAAGGACCAACCUUCCUACAAACCUAUCAUCAUUAGAUGCUUCAACAGAUAUCAUAUUCUAAAUAGUUAUUGGAUUAAUGUGCAACAAUAUGUUACAUCACAAAAUCGGAAUCUUAGAAAAAUGUUCUGUAGGAAACCUCUGAGAAUAAUCUUCGGAUUGCCAAUUAUGGAACUGACAAAUCAUGCACUAGUAAAAAGCCUGCUUUUAGAUUAUAAUUAGCUGGAGAAUUAAGUACUGGUGUUUCAAUCUAUUUCAGGGUCUACUAAUAAGCAAUGUCAAGGCUUAUAUCUCGCACUAUAUGAUAAAGAUCUAUACGCACCUGACCAGUCCGUGCUCGACCGACCAAAUCAAACCCAUCGAGUAUGAGAUCGAAAGUCAUGGCCUGGAUGGGGAACAGAGCCUUAAUCCCCUUCGAAUUCAGAGUCUCCCUCAAGACCUUCGAGAUCCUAAAAUUGGACAAAGCAUUUGGAUCAUCGGCAGCGUUGUCUGUCUCUCCGUCAUCGUCCUUCAUCAGCUUCGGCUUCUUCAUUGCGCCCCCAUUCACUGCCGCUGCUUGCUUCUCGGCGACGGUCGGCUGGGUGGAAUCGGCCGUGGUGUCACUUUUUUCGUCAUCAUCAGAGGCCUUCCUCUUCUUGCCCUUCUUUGCCUUCUUCUCGGACGCCAUAUCCUCCAUGCUGCUGUCGAGCUCGCCGUCCGCAUGCUUUUUCUUCUUCUUCUUCUUCCUCUGCUCCCCCUCCUCAGGGGUGCCGUUCUGGAGUUCCUUGGGCUUCAAUUUCUUGGUCUCCUCGGAGGAGAGAAGAUGGUCGGAUAAGACGAGAGAAGGCAUGGUGGCGGCGGGUCGUAGCUCUCUGCGGAGGUCGUAGGAAAGGCUGGGCGUGGAGGCGCAGCGACCGGAGCAGGAGUGGAGGGCGAAAGAGUUGAGCGUUUAGGGCUUUAUAGGGUUCGAUUUGGCAACGACACGAGAAACCCUCGGCUUCGGCACGUGCCGGGGAGGAGAAGGGAAGGCUAAUAAGUACUUGCUGCACCGAUUUAGUAUACGACUGAAGUUACGAUACAGUGGAGUCGGAGUCAGCUUGUGGGAUCCUAAGUGGUAACUCAAGUCUAAACGUGAAAGAAACACUCGUGCAGGCUGACGCAUAUAUCUUCCAAAACAUUGAAGGCGACGAGCGCCUCUGUGAUGAUUCCUGUCGUCGCAUCAAUUGCAUCCUAUCGCUGUUUGACAAAAUGCCAAGGCGGGAGCGGAUGGUGUAAGAGGCGGUUGAGCGUGGACUAUCAUGUCGCAUCUACAUCUGAUGCCUAAAGGUUGGUUUGUUUUUCACUCUCCUGCUGCUACGUAGCGAAAGAAGCGUUUUGUCUUCUCGAUGGCUUCAGUUAUCGCAUAAACAGCGCUCUAAAACUGCUCGACGAAAUGCCUAGCCGGGUGGGAGCUGCCUGGGAUUUGCUGGUGAGUGCUAUAUCAGGUUUCCAGUGAAGUUAAUGGGUGAGACAGUGUCCAUAGUUAGGUUGCCCCUCUAUGAUCUGGUUGCAGGGGUAAGGUUGCGUACGUUGAUCUUCCUCACACUAGUGUCAUGGAACAAUGCAGACAGGGUGUUCGACACUUGUCCAUGACGGUUUUCGGUUCCUGUUUUCCACCGUUUUCUUGUAGACAGCUUGUACGGGGCAGAAAACACUAUAGUCAACCCCAUUUUUGUUUGUUGUCAGUGUUUUUGCUUUGUCUUUAUGUCAUGUAAAGCUCGAAAUGUUUCAUAGUGGUAUCAGAGCUGCAAAUGCCACACUCCAUUUGAGUAGCUUUGCUAGUUUCCACAUGAGUGCUUGUCCGUUUCUCUGGAACGGCCACACAUUUCUGCUGCCUAUCUUGUACAGCAGUGUUGGUUUUGCUACACUGCCUUGCCAUGGCAAUUCAAUAUUUGCUUUACUCGCUCGAUAUCACUUUGUCUCGUCUUUAGCAGCGAUUGCCUAAGGCGUGUGACACCCAAGCGAUAUGUGUUUGCAAGGGUCAGUCUAGACCUUAACCUCGUCUAGGUGAAAGGCGAAAGUGCUAGGUGAACAUUGGGCCUAAAUCUACCUUCAGAACCCCCUUUGUAUGUGCUUGUUCAGCCUGUUCUUGAGACCCUUUCAAGCCUAAUAAAAGCUGGUUUCUUUGUGUUGCUUGCGAUCCCGGUUAUCUUGCCCUUUUUGUGUGUGACAGUGGCAAAUUACUCACAUGUUCGUCUUUCUAACUUUUUCUUCGUUGUGCAAGUCCUCAGUGGACUGCACGAGGUUAAGAUGUAGGAUAACCCUUGUGAAAGCAUAUUGCUUGGAUGCCAUAUACUUAGGCAAUUCCAGUUAAGGAUGUGACACUAGGCUGUCCUUUUUUAUGUUAUACUUCUCUGUCUUAUAUGCUAUAGUUAUUGUCUGUUCAGGCAUUGGCAUCUCAUGAUGAAAUUUGCUUCCACUAAUGCCAAAACCCAAAGGCAGUCACUGUAGUGUUUUACUUGUCCAUGUCUGUCAGACUAUAGCUACACAAAUUAAUUUUUGGCAUCAACCGCCAUUGUCAAGUAAACAUGAUUAAUCAUAUUACAUAUUGUAUCAUCUUGUAGCACAUCUAAAGGGAAUGCGCUUUUGAUCAGACAAGUUUUUAUGAGAUCUAUUCUUUGGCUGAAUUUUACAAAAAAAAGAAAGAGAGAAAAUUAUGAAAAUUAUCUUUUGAGCCCCUUGUCUGAGUUGGCUAUUUGCUGUUGUCACUAUGCUUGUACUGAAUAGAACUACGUGUGCUACCCCCUGCUUCAAACAUCUUUUCCAGUUUAAUCACCUGAUCUGGAAAUUCAGUUUCUCAAUGCUGAAGCCAAAAAAAGAAAGGAAUAACAUAAUUACCCCAAAAUGAAGGGCCAUGAUAAUUGUGAAAUCAUUGUCUUGAAAACCAAAUAGGUCCUGAACAAACACAUUUAUUGGCUGAUCCAAAUUCCCUGGAACAUGAAUUGGUUUAUCUAGAUCUCCUAGUUGAGAAAACAUCAGACCAUAAAGAGUCCAUGCUGCAGGAUUGACCCAAUAUAACCAUCUCCACCAAACUGGGAUCAUCUGCUUUAACAUAGUCAACAUUCUUUCAGUGUAGCAUGCUUGUAUUCUAAAUAAAUUAUUGCAAGCUAAGAAUGUCAAAUUUACCUUCCUUGAAAUGAAAAAACCAGAGAAGAAACUCCACAAGAGAUAAAUGAGGAAGGAGACCGAGGAAGCUAUUUCUGGAGUUGGUGUGAGUGUUACUGUCAUCAUCCCAUACAUUGUGAAGUAGGACAAAUUUAAAAGCAUGAAGAGCAAGAACCAGAGGAAUUUUACUAUCGACAACUGGAAUCCAAUCAUUGGAUAGAAAAUAAAUGAAAAGAGGAGCACUUGGAGUAUCACAAAUGGGGUUUCAACUGCCACCUGCAGAUGUUAUGAUGAUAUUCAUCUAUACAGAACUGAAAAAAUAAGCAGUGACGUAUCUAUUACUUAAUGUAUGCUGAUUGGUUUUCUAUGAAAAAGUGGUGGACUACUGUGUUUGUUGGUAGAAACAGUAUACUGCAGCACAUGUAUUGCAAUGCCUCAGAGGUACCGGGCAUGCUUCAUGCCCAGUUGUGCCAGAAGUGACAACACAUGCCUCAGGCAAUUUCUGGCAUUUUCCUUGCUAGAAAUGUAUUAUCAUACUCAUUGUCAUGGAAUGAUGAAACAACAAUCCUUGUGUUGGACUUUGAGUUCAUGAUAAAUCGUAAGUUCAUAGCAAAAUGCUGCAAUUUUGAAUGGAUUGCAGAAAUAAGAUUACCUGAGCAAUAGUGUAAGCCAUGGAAGUGUACAUUCCAGCUGAUCCUUCUCGGUAGAGUACUGUUCUCUCCAUCCAUACAAGAGGCUGCAUCAAAAUGGCAUUGACAAAACCUUGAAACAAUGCUGAUGCAUACAUGACUCUGAAAAUGUUGAAAAUAUCUUGUUCACUAGUACUGUUAUUCAUUGAAGAAAGAGCAGGGUUAAAAGUAUUGACAAAGACAUGAAACAUUGCUGUUGCUUACAUGAUUCCCAGUCUGUUGAGAGUAUCUUGUUCACUGAUGUUGUUGUGCAGUGAAAAAAAAGACUUAAAUUCUCAGCUAUGGAGGAAAUCAUUCUGAACUCAAGAAAAUAUGUUGUUCACUGGUACUAUUGUUCAGCCAAGAAAACAGAACUAAAAGUUUCAGCUAUGCAUGGGGAAGAUCAUUUUGAACUUACAUGUUGGAGCCAAUUUUACAAAAUACUAUGGCAAAUAGAUUUGAAGUUCCAACUGUAGUCACAAAACGGACGACAUUGAAUUCUGGAUUUUUCCAAUAUGAUUUGUGUAAUUUCCACAAGCACGCACUACAUUGUGACCCAAAAUUCUGCCAAUAUUCAGAUGCGAAGUGCAGAUCCUCUGAGUUUGGCCGUAUUUUACUCAGCUCACUAACUAGUUCCAUGUUUUCUCUGUUAGAUCAAGUAUAAAUUCAGCACCUCAUUUUAUUCAUAAAAAGGGGUGGCACAGUGCAGGAGGCUCCUGCUAAUGCAGGAUCUGUGGUGGUUUAGUGUGCACAACCUAGAGGCUGUUUCUAAGACUUGAACCCUUGACAUCCAGAUAGAAAAGAUGCAACCUUGUUAUGCUGCCAAAGCUCAUCUGCUAUUCAUUUUAAAUUUGUGGUCUUUUUACUUGAACCAAGAAUUUUGGUUGUGUUACCUGUAUAGAGAAGAACUUCGAAAGAUCUCUGCAUAGUCGAUGGACUUAUCAUAUUCCAUGGUAAGAGAAGUGAUAUCUAGCAUCCAUGUUGCUGGAUUUUGGUCUUUUUUUUAUUUUAGGAACUCCUGGGAUAGCCUGCACAGAAAAGCCUUGGACCUAUUCUUAUUCUCUUCAUUUAAGGAACAAAGAUUAAUUCAAAAUAUGUUACCUGAAAAUAUUGAAUCAUGAUAUGAGAUAGAGGACCCAGAGGACCACUAUAGAUAAACUGCCCCCCCCUUUUCAUCAGUAGUAACUUCCAGUGGUAGCAAAGGACAAGAAUGGUUAAAAAAUGCAAUUCUGACACUUAAUCUGUAUGUUUUGCAGUGGUAAAUGAACACUAUUUGUCUAGGAGCUUUAUGAUUUCAUAGUUAUUUAAUUUAUAUGUUGUUAAGAUGUCUUCAUUUUUCAUCUUGUUAAUUCAUCAAAUGUUUGCAUUUGUUCUUAGUUGUUCCUUUUCGAUAUAAAAUGUUUGAAAGCAGACUGUGAGAUUUUAACUGACUGUCUCUUAAAUUUGACUUGCUUGCACGAAAUUUAGCUCUCUUUGAAAGGUGAGCCAACAUAAGUUUUCCUUUCCAGCUACAUAGGGUACUGUUUACAAUUGUAAAGAUUUGUUACGUAAAUGCAAGAAUAUAUAACCAAGUGUCAGUUCAUCUAUGUUUUAACUAAAUCAAAUUCCCAAGAAGCGUUCAUAAUCCAAUGACAUCUUAACCUAACCAAGAUUAUAGCUGUGCCAUUACAUGAUUCAUGUGCUACAUUUACCAUAAGCAUCACAAGGAUGUUCCAUGGCUCUCAUAGUAAUUUAAAAGAUCUCAAUGUUAGGAGGGCCACCAAAAUCCUAGUAGUAGUAUUUGCUUUGCAACAUGUGUCACAUCUACUUUCAUAAAUUAUAAUCCAUGCAAUAUUCUAAUUUCUGCCUUUGUUCGUAGUCGCUAACCCAAUAUUAAAGUUUUUGGGUGUAUUUUGGCUAUAACUUACUUUUGUGGAUUUGAAAAAAAAUUGGAUGCAAGACUUCUUUUGUCACUAAUAUGUCAAAAAAAAGGAUCUGUUGUAGGAAAUAAGAGACUACUUUUUCGUUAAAUUUGCUUAGAGAAAAUAAAUUCUUGAUAAGAAUUCAAUUUAGUCUCUUGAGCAAAAAAAAAAAAGUAAAUUCUGUACGUCUAAUAUCGGUUUCCAUGUUCUUAGGUUUAUGAUGCUAAUUAAUAGAUAAUCCCUAAACUUUUCUGAGCUAAUCAUUAGAAGAUUCAUUAGCCCUCAAGGAGCUGAUAUUUCAGACACACACAUGUGCGCACACGCAAACAAAAUACUUGAUUAGCCUUCAAAAUGCUAAGCAAUAUUUUCACAUCUUAUUAUUGUUUUUGUUGUUGUUGUAGAUUGAAGCAGCAGCACCUGCAAGGUAUUGGCGCAGACAUUGAACAAGGUUGGAAGAGGUUGUUGGCCUCCAUGCUCAAGUUCUCAAAAUGCACCUCGACCUUGGGAACUUGAAUCCCCAACCUGACCAUAAAACAUCACUUGGUAAGAUUUCUGGAUGAGAUGGGAGGAAUAGGAAACAAAGUCUUCUUUCUCUGUUGUGUUCCUUCUGUUUUCACUAUUUCCUCAUUCCCUCUCGGAGCAGGAGGAGGAACUCCUCGUUGUCCGCAUGGUGAAGGGGGCCUCUUGCCGUUCCAUGCUUGUGGAUCUCGUCUUCCUUCUGCCACUUCAACUUCGGGUUGUGCUACCAAGUAAGCCUGGUGUUGAUGUGCUGUUUUAGCGUGCUCAGAUAUAUAGAGCGGAAGAGCAACGUGAGCAAAGUAGUAGUAGCAUGGGAACGGUGUAAAGGUGUAUCAGACCUGAAUCGGUUCUGGGUCGGAAUCGAAUCAGGUCGAUAGUUCGAUGAUAUCGAAUCAGAUGAGAAGCGGGGUCAUACGGUUCGAUUCUGAUUUCUAGAAAUUAGGAUGUAAAUCGGUAUGGUAGAAUCUAAAGCUCUGAUUUCAGUUCUUAGUGGAAAGGACUCUGUUCCACACCCACUGUCUCUAUUCAUAGUCUCAACGCAGCAGUAGUUGAUUCGAUUGUUCAUCCAUGUGGGUGACAUAGACACGAGGGAAUUGAACGUGGCAAGGAAAGACACGAGGGACCAACCCAGGGUAAGAACAGGAGCCUAUUACAGUCCUUUUCAAUCAAAUGAACCAUUAAUGGUUUGGUUUGUCAUCAGCGUAAUGCUUUCUUACAUUGGUGGAGAAAGUGACACUACAAUAUUUGAAGCAAAGAGAUUUGACUCUGAUCUUUCACGUGUGUUGACGGCAAUCGAUUGGUUAACAUGUCAAUACACCGUCGACGCAAAAUACAUGGAAAGCCCAAAUGGCCCAUAAACUGCUGUUAGGCCCAAUUGACGGUUUUUUUUUGGACCACAAUCUAACCGACGAAGAUCGGCAAAGAAGAUGGCCCGUAACUAUAGAUAGGCCCAAUUAGUUAGGAUUAUCGUGGGCCCCACCAAUCUAACCGACAGAUUUCGGCAACAGAACUUGGUGAAAUCGGGCGGGAAGGAAUAGAGAGAGAGAGAGAGAGACAGAGAGGCGAGGGGGGGGUGGUGGUGGUGGGAAUGGCGAUGCUCCGGAUCUGGUGCGUGUCAGAUCGACCGCGUACAGGGCGGCCGCGGUCUCAUAGCCCUUUCCUCUCCUCUAUUCUUGCUCUUUUAAGGUUCCCUUCGGGUCGAAGUCUACCUAUAUCGCGAGGUAGGGUGAUCCGCUCGAACCGAUCAGGGAAGAGAAUCGUCAUUUGUCUUACUCGCAUCUGGUUGUUGCAGGGGAGCCUGUGCUUUCCAUCAAGAAUCGGAGAUCUUUGCAGCUGUUGUUGAUGAAGAACACCCGAGGGCAGGCGGCCGCUGUUCGGGCGAAGUUUGGGGCUGUUCAUCCCCUGUACAUGCCCGUGUGAUCAAAAUCCGGUAUCAAGCUCCUUCCCUUGUUCAUUUAUUUGCCCUUCUUUCUCGUACUAUAAUGGUCGGACGCGUGAAAUUAAUGCGUGCAAUUUGACUGUAGUUUUUCCUUGUUCUUAGUGUAUAGAUCGAGAGCCAAGUGAAUGAUAAGGUUUGCUAUGCUUGGGAAAUUUAGUGAUAUCAUGAUUGAUCUCUUUAUGGACUGAAAUUAUUCUCUUUAGUCUAUGUGCUUGAUGAAGUUACUGGAAUACGUUGGAACAUAGAUCAAUUUGGUAAUAGAUUUCUCUUGAUGAAAUUUUAAUGACCUACUUGUUCAGCCUUGGGAGAUGGUUUUCUGGCAUUCUUUUGUCAUGGACUGAGCGUUUUCACUAAGUUGUGUAGCAUUCCCUCACUCCACCUACUAGUAAGAAGUCACUCUAUAAUAUGACCUUGUAAAACAAAAGAAGACUAGUUGAUGAGCAAACUAUCACGUAUGUGUGUUGUCCAAGGAUACUAGAACAUGGAUUGCAUAGGUAACACAAAGGUAACUGAUAGCUUUACUAGACCAUAAAUGACGAUCACAAACCACGCAUGUGGAUCCGGCUAGCUUGAUAUGUCUUCUAAAACUUCUCUUUUGGAGAAUAGCACUAGUGAAAUUUGAAAAGUGGGAAGAGUUGUUAUACUAGGGCUUAACCUGACUGAAUAUGUAAUGCAUCACCAUGGUUAGUUCCUAUCUUAUUUGUGAAAAAAAAUAGUAAUCUAUAAGAUUCUGCACUGACUAUAGCCGGUUAUAUAGCUACUUCCAGUGCCAAUCAAUAUCCCGACUCCAAUUUGUGUUAUUUGAUCAAUUAGGAGUGUAUUCUUAUAGAAAAAAAUUGAGGUAAGCAUAUGUUAUGUUGAUAAAUAAAUCUGAGGAAAUUAUUUAGAACUGUAAUCCUCAAAAUAUAUUUAUACAUUAUGAGUGAUGAUACUCUUUGAAUCAAAAAUGCCUCAACUACUUUUGUGAACCUGUUGAGCGGAGAAUUCUUAUCAUUUUUGUAUAAUUUUGUGACUAACGUAAGUCAUCGUGUGGAAACCAAAUUAGAACUAUGUUAGGAGAUUAGAGAGACAAAAUUAAUUGGGAUUGCAUGAGAUUUGGGUUAAGAAGUCAGAUUUUGGUACAUUUUAUUUCUCGAGAGGUUAUAUUGUAUAAUCUUGAGAAAUUCGAUAGGAGAGUGGUACUAUCAUAUGCUCAGAAGCUUCUUAGGAUUCGCUGAACAUAAAAAAUAAGUUUUUUUUGUCAUUUUUCAAUAUACUGUGACAACAUGAAAAUAAUUAGACAUAAGUGUGAGAAACUUUGAUAAGAGUGGAUACCAUUAUCUUAGGUCCAAUUUGAGGCCUUAAGACUUGCUCUUGUUUAUCAUUUCCUUGAACUUGUAGGGUAUGCCCUAUCAUCCUCUCUCUCACCUCCCAUUUCUAGCAAUCAUCUUUUUAGUCUCUAUUUUGAUGAAUCACAUUAAUGAGCAUUGGGGAUUAUCAUCAAUCAAACUGUCAAGAAAGAUUAUUAAUGAAUUCCUGUUCAAUUAUUUUGAAUAAAAUCCUUAGAUUAUAAUUAUUUCAAGUGUUGUUUUAAAUAGCUCUCAAUCUAGUGUGUGUGGUUAAAACGUAUCAGAUAUGUCAAACUACUGUGUUAAGAGAGACCUUUCACUCAUGCUACUUGAUAUGCAUGAUCCAUGAUAACUAUCCAAAUGAACAGUUAGAAACUGGCUCUAGCUCCAGAAAUCUGAUCUAGGCUUUUUUGUCUUUUGCAUAUAGUAUCUUGCUCCAACAAGAUUGGUAGCAUUCAGUAUUGAACUACAGCAUGAGUUGGACUUGGAAAGUGUUGCUCUUUGAUAAACAGAUCACCUCUUCCCCUGAAGAUUGCUGGGAAAUGUAAUUACUAAUCGGUUUCCCGUCAUUUGUAAGUAAAGCAUUAACUGCACUUUUGAUAAUUAUCAGAAAUGCAAACUGUCUUGGGUCACUUCAAGCAUAGCAAGCAAUCCUUGAACUGCCAUACUUGACUGAUGCAAUUUUUAUUUGGUUUCAUUUUUUUUACCUUUGUAUUGUAAGAUAAACAUUUCGACUGUGUUAAAUUAUACUGACAGACAAAAAAAAGGGGGGUUUGGCAAUUCUAGAGAGGUCGACAUCCAAACAUGGGCCCGUUACCUUCCACCGAUGAAAAAUGCAAAUGAGCCACCCGUGCCCGACAUCUCUUUUCUGGUAGGUAGAAAGUUUAUUUAUUUAUUUAUUUUACUUUUGGCUCCUUUUGAACGAAAGAAAUUUGUUGGGAAGCAAGUCUGCAACUUGCAACUUCCAUCCGUUUCUUAUUCUUUCUUUGGUAUUUUUUGUCAUCGGUCUCUCUUCACUCGGGUAAACUUGCAUAUCUUCAUCAAAGCUUCCGCAACUGUCAACCUAUACCUGCAAACCAUGUACUCGGCCUACUUGUGAACAGUAUCGUAUAUCGUACAAAGUCUUGUCUUUAAAAACGCGUCGCAUGGAGAUCGAGCAGCUGACACAGAGGAGAUGGGCGCCGAGUUCAACAAGUCCAGUCUGAGCCGUGCGGCCAGCUUCCUCAACUCCGCAGUGGGCUUCCUGGUGUUCUCCUUCCUCGACGUCCUCGACGCGAUCCUCUGCGUCGUCUACAAGCUCGUGGACUCCGCCAUGGAGACCGACUCGAGGCCGUGCUACUGCUCCCCGGAGGAGGUCACCAUCAGCGGCGACUUCCUCGUAUCAGCGACGAAAGGCCGCACCGUUGUUCCAGUGGCUGCCAAGCUCCGGUUGGGGGAUGUAUCUGACACCCUUUACUAUCGCCCGUCCCAAGUUGCUGAGCUCACUGAGAAGGCCGCCAUUGCCGUGGGCUAUAAGACCAGCAAAUCGAUUCGAUUCACUGUGAGCUCUGACGUCAUCGGGGCGCUCAAGGAGAAGACCAGUCGCGGACGACGGCCGCUGUGGUCCGACUGCGACUGCAAGAAAUGCAAUUCUCCGGAAUCUCACCUAUAUGUUCAUGUCGAAGGACCCAAAGGUAUUUAAUUACUGCAUUUGGGUGUAUAUUCUUGAAGCACUGAUCAGAAAAAUAUUCCGAUGGAAUACGACAGACACAUCUACGACGACGACGGACGUCAUUUUCAUUCAUGGAUUCAUAUCGUCGUCGGCGUUCUGGACGGAGACGGUGUUUCCGGAGUUCUCAGACGCGACCAAGUCGAACCAUCGGAUGUUCGCGGUGGACCUGCUGGGGUUUGGCCGGAGCCCGAAGCCGGCGGACUCGCUGUACACGCUGCGGGAGCAGGUGGACAUGAUCGAGAAGUCGAUCCUGAAGCGGCACAACGUUCGGUCCUUCCACAUCGUUGCCCACUCCAUGGGGUGCAUCAUCGCGUUGGCGCUGGCGGUCGAGCACCCAGAGGCGGUCAAGUCGCUUGCAUUGAUCGCUCCGGUAAGUCCAGGGUGUCGAUCAAUGAGUAGAGGAUGGAGUAGGGUUUGUCCAUGGCGUUCAUUUAAUGAAGGUGGGGUUUGGUGCAGCCAUACUUUCCGGUGCCCGAAGGGGAGAAGGCGGCGCAGUUCGUGAUGCGGCAGGUGGCGCCGAAGAAGCUGUGGCCGCCAAUAAUGUUUGGGGCGUCGAUGUCGUGCUGGUACGAGCACGUGAGCAGGACGAUUUGCCUGUUAAUCUGCAGAAAUCACCGGUUGUGGGAAUUCCUCUUCAGACUCAUCACUCGGAACAGGUAAAAUCUACACCAUGAUCUGCAGCUGAACUGCCUCUUCUUUCUACUAUGUUAGUGAUCCAUCUCUUUCCUAUUGCAUGCUACUUUUCUUACCUCUUCAUUCAAUGUUAGUGAUCUAUCUCUUUCGUGUUGCAUGCUGCUUUUCUAGUUAGCUGAUUGUGUGCAAUGUGGUAAGGCUCCCAAAAGAUUAAAAAACACAAAUUAACACAAGACAACACAGAAGAGAAAUUUUAAUACCAUCUAAUUCGAAAUAUCCCAUUUCACUGUGUCAACUCCUACAAUUCGAUGCUUUAAACUGUUGCGCUUAUGUCAUACAUUCUUCCUUGUUAUGUAUUCUUUUUCUCGACGCUAUUUGGACUGCAUAGCUAACAGACAGAUACUAUUAGUACUAAGUUGAGGUCUUUGCACUUUCAAUUCCUGUUUCAACAUUGACAAAAGCAUAUCUCCCUUUAGUUCCUACUAGAAAAUAAAUAAAUAAAUAAAACUCUUACUAAACCAAAGUUUGAUUCGUCUUCACCAUCAUUUUCUAAUUAAACUUUGAAAAAAAUAAUUGCAUGCAAUAAUACCAUGAAUAUUAUCACUGUUGUUCCAAUAUGCAUUAUGAAGAAUUCUUUAUGCUCUAUUAGAAUUGUAUGUAAGUUGUUUAAUUGUUUACCUUUCCACCGUUGUCUUUUAUUUCUUUCGGAUAUAUGUAUACAUAUAUAUAUAUGUAUACAUAUAUAUAUAAAACCCUUAGGUUUUCAUUAUUUCUCGUGCAGAGUCCUUAAAAAAAAAAAGAUGAGAUUACCUAAUCCUAUUGUGAUUGUCUCCAAUUCACGAGGUCCUAUCGUCCCCCUCUUCGUUGUCAUCUUAUCGUACUACUAUCUCUCUCUAUCAUUCUCAGUCCCAUCAUUCCCAUAAUAGAAUAUCAUAAAUGGUUAUGGGGGCGAUUGAGAGAAAAGAAUUGGGAUGAUAAAACCUCUCAAAGAUAGAUGAGAAGAUUGCUUAGAACGAAAGUGAUCAUGAUGGGAUGGAGUGAUAGAAUAAUCUCAUCCUUUAAAAAAAGAAAAAAUACUUUGCAAAGAUGUUAGUUAAUGUGCUUCAACAAAUAUAUANNNNNNNNNNNNNNNNNNNNUAUAUAUAUAUAUAUAUAUAUAUAUAUAUAUAUAUAUAUAUAUAUAUAUAUAUAUAUAUAUAUAUCCAAUGCAACUCCAAAUACGAAUCAAAAUUUAAUGUGCUUCAACAAGUAGUUAGUUGCAAGAGGCUGUUCGGUAUGGGAAAACGAUGUUCCCUAUUAUCCCUCAGCGCGUCGAGUCGAUGCUGAAGGACAGAGGUCGGCAACUUUAUUGCCCUUCGGCUAAGCUUGAUGGAUGUAUAUAUGGAUUCGAGGACACAGCCAUGCUGAACUUAGUUAUUCCCUUCCGCCUAAUGCAACAUCUAAAUGGUUGAGUAUUUGAUGAAGCACAGUUUCCGUCCCAUCAGCCUCCAUCCAACUCAAUGCUAGUGUUAUAUAGGACGUCAUGUCUGCUUUUAAUGCAGGCUGACUACCCAAACGAGUCAAGAUAGUUCUCAUGUUGAGCUCUAUGCCAGUGAAAAUUGCAUACGAUGUUAAUCCUGUCACGAUUACGAAUUGGCCAAGUCUAUUGAACUCUUGAUGAUUUGGCGGAAGAUAGUAAUACAAGGAAGCUUAGAAAUCAAUCAGUAAACGGCCCUGUUUUGUUUGUCGUCUGCUUUGUUUUCUUCCCUGCUAUAAUUCAUCACUACAUUUCUGGUUCAUAGAACCGUACAGAUCUCGAGGUUUCACCACUCAAAAUUCAUAGUAUUGACAUCUUUCUCAGAAAAUUUAAAUUGUUCGUCGUAUGUCUCCAUCAGCCUGCCUGUGCUCAUCAUUAAUCAUGGUCCGAGUACUGCUUGCACACCCACAUCCGCCGAGUUCUUCACGUCAUUAUCUGAUGCGAUGCAGCAUGAAUGAGAUGACAAUGAAGGCCACCAAAUCCUGCACAACUCUACCUUCCAGAUAUUUGCUAGCGCGUUAUUCCUGUGUUUUCAGUCGACAUUACGCUCUGGUCAAUCCUUAUUUAUGACUCUCACAUGCUCUUCCGUGGCCUCGAAACUUCGACAAGCUGAAAUCCUCAUGGACUGCGCCAGGAAACCAAGUGUCUGAAUGAUGCUUGAUGUAUUGUUGUGUUGUUGUUGGAACAGGAUAAGGACCUACAUGAUGGAUGCCUUCAUGUGCCACACCCACCGUGCUGCAUGGCACAGCUUGCACAACGUGAUAUGCGGGAGUGCGGAGGCGAUGGAACGGUACAUGGAUAGGGUGAACAGACGGAGCUGCUGCGACGUGGCGGUGUUCCAUGGCGACGACGACGAUGUCCUCCCUGUCGACUGUAGCUACGCCGUGGGGUCGAGGAUCCCCAGGGCUCGUGUCAAGGUGUUCCAGAGGAAGGACCACAUCACCAUCGUCGUCGGCCACCACAAGGCCUUGGCCGGGGAGCUGGAACAGAUAUGGAGGAACGCAGGCAGCCCAACCAACAAAUAGCCAUCCGCAGGUCGAUACAAGAAACCCAAAUUAACACCACAACCCUGCCUUCUCUUUUAUGUUGGGUCAUGUACUAAUACCCUAUGCCUAAUCUUUUAUUUAUAUACAUAAUUUUUAUUUAUAAAGAUAAAUGAUGAAGACGAGAUUUGAAUUUAUAUUUUAUCAGUUAAAUCAAUAGAUAUUUUCAUGUUUAUGAAUAUUAUGAAGAAAAAAAUACUUAUUGUCUUAAAGGUUAAUUCGUAGUCUCAUUGGAUGUCGACUAAUACGAGCAUUUUGUUUGAUGUCCUACAAAAUACUAACACUAAAGCGGAAUGUAUGUCGAACGAGUGAGAACAUAAAGAAGAGUAUUGAUCUAAGAUGAGCGAGCAACUACCUAAAGAUCAUGCUAAGUUUAUAACGUAAUGUCGGGCUUACAAUAUCAUAACACAAGAUUGACACACGUCAACCUUUAGGUAUCACGAUAUCCAUAAUUCAUCGACCAAAGUCAACUCAAUGCAAAUGACUCUUACCGACCACCCAAAAACUAAUUAAAGAAAAAUAAAUUUUCCAGCGGGCAGCAGUAGGGAUAAGUCUCUCUCUUAUCCUCGUCCUGAUUGGGCAUUAGGCAUGGGCAUGGGCGCGUCUAAGCUUCAUCUGAACGACAAAAACCACGUUCAGUCACUAAAUACACUAGUGAAGAUGACGGCAGCACCGCCCUAAGUGUCGGUUGCCGACCGCCGGUCGACUUCGGCCCCAUCAGCGACCGUAAGUCUCCUUUCGCCGCCCAUCACUAACGAUGCUUCCACGGCAACCCAAACCUAAUCUCGUCCUUUUCUCGACCGCUUUGGCAUCCGAACCGAGUGCGGGAAACUGGCGGUUGGUACCGAGUUCCGCCCACCGCAAAUAAGAAUAAGAAAGUGGAGUUACGGGAGCUUUGUGAGAUUUUGGGCUGUUCUAAUUGAUUUUUGGGACCUCUUUUAUCACCCUGCGACUACAGUUUGGUACACUCGCUCACCGGUGCGUUGCCAUCACUUUUCCUUGUUCUUUUCUUUCGUUGGACCAAUUUGACGGUGGAUCGAAGUACACCUGGGUUCCGCUCACCUCAACGGAGGAUAAGAAAGUGGAGUUACGCGGGAUUCCGAGGAUUUCGGACCGUAAUAAAUGUUUUCCGGCGUCUUCGUUCCUCUGCUAGUGUGCGGUAAUCCCCCCGCUCGGUUUCCGCAGCCUUUUCUCUUUUUCCUACACCGGUUCUGCUCAUCGCCGUAGAAAGAAUAAGAGGUUGGGCGCUGUAUGACGCCGCCUUGUAGUUUUCUGUUAGGGUGUCGAUGCACCGCGCAUCAACACCCUAACAGAAGGAACUGACCUUGCUCGAGGGAGGGCAGAGAAGCAGGAUUGCUUCAUAUGCAUUUGCCCACACCAAACAAAUUAAGACGCAUUGGUAUUGCGGCAAAAAUGAAAAUACAAUACUGAGAAAAAAAAUGAGAUAUAGAGUGAAACUAAAUUUUUGUAUAUGAAUAAAUACUAAUAGGUCAUAAUAUGCACGACAAAAUAAAGAUAAUCCACUAUAAGAAUAAUAAAUAUACAAAUCUUAAUUUAUUGCUCAAAACCCUUACAACAAUCACAAGAGAGAAUAACAAUAUCUCUGCGUUGUCCUUGUUUUCUUCCCUUUUUUUUCUUGUUUUUAUGUCUUUUUCUCCUCCUUUUUGAAUCAAGAUGCUGCUGCCAAGAUCUCCCCUACUGCUAUAGUUUUCUCCCUCGUUGUUGUCUUUUUAUCUGCUCCAAAAAACACAAUCACCACACCCCUCUAGUUUGAUCUAUGAUUAGGUCAAAGAGGGGUGGGCUGUGGACGGCUAAAGUUUAUCAUGGACUGAAUAUGUGGGCUGUAAGAGCACAAUCAGAGCUGAAUAUGUCAGCCCAACAAACAGAGCAAAAUUCAUGGUUUAUUCUUAAUGUAAGAGACAUUAGCACCUGCAUUAUCUAUUUUAUCGGCUUCGAGGGUAAAGCACAGAAAAUGAAUAUAAAAAAAAAAAAUGGAUGGCAAGAGAAAGGCAAAUUCAACCCAUACAUAUAAUGCAAUUCUAAAUUAUAAUAGUGAAGGACAAAUUUUCUCAAUGUGGAAUGAUAAGGAAUGUUUCUUUACUUCCCACGUCUUUGCUAACUAAUGUAUAUCGAUCACAACAAUCUACAGCAUUUGAAAAGCCUACAAUAAGCAGAAUUUUAAACAUCUACACCGUAGACCAGAUUUAAGCAUAGAAUGAAAUUAGUUUAGUGUUUUGAAACACCAUCAGUUAAACCAAGGAUUUUAAUCAUGGGUAAUGACCCCCCCCCCCUCCCCACCCAACAGCUGGUCAAACCGGUAUAAAUCACUGGCAGCAAAGUUCGAAAAAUCAGCCAAUUCCAUUCCAGAUUGAUCGAUAAGAAUAUGUCAAAUUGCACCUACAAGAUCAUAUGACACAAUGAAAGUGGGUAAGGAAAUUAACUCUGUCAGAUCAGGUAUAUUCAAAAUCCAGACUAAUCUGAGAAAGCAUAUAUUCCUAAUCAUUUAUGCAUUGAAUUGACACUUUACAAGGUGUAUACGCCUUCCAAAGCAUAUUUUCCUAAUAAUUUAUGCAUCAACACUCUACUGAGUGUUUAUGCCUUCUUUAGCAUCACUGGAUGCAAGUUUAUCCAUUAUAUUAUGCAAAUGCUUCUUUUCAUUAUAUUACAUUUCCUUUAGGACGCAGCUCUGUAAACAGUUGUGGAAAGCAUCACAGAAUUCUAAUACCCCCUUUCUCAUUCCACUGGAAAUGAACGAUUUACCUGUAUAUUUGCAACCAGUCACUUGCUAGAUCCAAUCCAAGCAAUGCCAAGAAAAUAAAGCCUGGUCUGCAAGUAAGGUUCAACGAGAGUCUCACGUCAGAAAUGUGCCAAAGGAUAGACAGGAAAAUUGCAUAACAGCCAGUAAUGUUUGCCCUGAAGGAUGUCGAAAGCACCUGUCUGUUGCCGUAACAUCUCCAGAAGUUGACACUGGACUACAAAAUCUGAUGAAUAAAUCAAUUAUUACAGCUUACCAUUUCCCCCUUUUCUUGGCAUCUACCAGUCUAUCAAUUAUUACAGCUCCAGAGAGGAGCUAAAAAGUAUUAUAUUUAGACAUGAAAAAAAAACAUAUAUUUUCAAUGUAAAGGAACAAAGGAUCAACAUUUAGGCACAACUGAAUAUGAACCAGUAAUCCAAUGUUCAGUAUGAUUCAUAUAUAAGAGUGCUUAUGACUUGCUUCCUAGUGAAUUUCAUGCAUCAGUAAAUAUUUGAUGACUCAAAGACAAAUCUCCUCCUAUCCUUAUUAUUUGACUUCAUAAAAAUGUAUACAUACAUAUACAUAAAAAUGUAUCCUUAUUAUCACUCAAUUUAAAUUUUUAUGAAUAUGUAUAUAUCUUUGCAAAACUUGCACAUGUAAAUCACCACGUCACCUGAUCAUUAAAGUAAACAAUGUUUAGGUUCUGAUUGGCAUUAGCACCCCUUUAAAUAUGCCCUUUAAAGCAAAUAUGAUGGUAAAAGUAUCAAUGAAACUUUAUUAUUUUAAAUCUUAAUUUAAAAGAAAAAUGAAAUUAGCUGACAAUUGUUACCUUAGUUCUUGUAAUGAAUGUUAAUGGCAGGAGUUUUAUGGUGGAUCAUAGUUACCGGGGGGCAUAAAUGCUAUAGUCAAAUUUGUUGUGACAAAUGCACAUUUGCCAAACUUUUCAAUGAUUGGCAUGACAAAUCCCUUUUUUGUUUUAAUAAUUGUGGAUGAAAGCAAUGUGGUCACUUCAAAGUUAGGAGCCACUUAAAAGUGGCUCCAUAAGAGCAUUUGACAUCUUCCCACCAGAUCUUGAUGAGAUCUUUCACUAUUAAAUUAGAUAGUUGGAUAAUCAUAUUGAUAGAUGGCUAAGAUGUGAGAACUAGAGGGUCUUAACAUAUAGUAAUUAGUGCAGUGUUGCACAAGUGAUAGGUCUCAAGUUUGAGUCGACAUGUUAACAACAUUUGAUGUAAUGAAAAUUUCUUUUCAUUUUUCUUUUAAACAUAAAGCACAACUGAGAAGGAUGAUUGUCCCAAAACUCACAGGUUAACAAGGCGGCCAAGACUUAGAACUGACAGUCCUCCGAUCCUCCCAUCGUAGGGUGAGCUCGGAGCUGGAUGGAUACCUCCCUCCUCAAUAUCGGCCAAGAAAAAAGCCUAGAUCACACGAUAAAUUCGUGGUCCAUCUACCACCAUCAAAUACUAUGUUCAAGAUGAAUGUCUCACAGGCAUUUAAACGAACAUGACGCGUGCAAUCUAUACAGGGCAUAUUGAACUCCAAAAGCACAAAGUGCAAUCUAUACAGGGCAUAUUGAACUCCAAAAGCACAAAGUGCAAUCUAUACUGGGCAUAUUGAACUCCAAAGGCACAAAAGUCCUUGCGUAUCACAGGCUUUGGCCAAUUCGGCUAUAGGAAGUAACGUUAUAGGAUCAAGAAAAGCAUCAGUUUGGAGCAGGAACAUAUUCUCGAGUAGGUUAUUACCUUCCAACGAAUGCGGCGAGGAGGGGCGCGGCGCAGGUGCGGGUGCAACAUACCAUCGGCGACGAACGACAAAACCAAGACAAUCGCCCGUCCCCAUCCAUUGUCGCUGCUGGUGGUGGUGCUCGUUAAGAAGUGGGAACUGUGCGCGGCCGUCGGAAGGGACUCAUCCACCGUGUCGGCGCGUGGAGAGGGAAAGCCUGCAGGGAACAACAAUGCCUGUGUUGUGUUAAGCUCACGGGAGCUCCAAGGAAUUAGGUUGAAUAUAAUUGAAUCGGGUCAAAAUCUAAUUUACUCCGGUCCAAUUAAAAUCUAAUGUAGCUCACCAAGUCAAGCUAAAAUCUUUCUUAUCAUCGAACCGGUCCACUCCUUUCCAGUUCUCCAAAGUCCAACGGAUCGCGAUUUUACGUGUAAAUUAACACUGAACCCGGUCCAAUGUGACGGUCGAACGCGAAGCCGGUUUGUUGUCUCUACUAACCCAGUAAUUAACUCCGAACUCUCGUGGCAUUUGGCCCAUCGGUUCGUCACACUUCAACCACAUCUGCCUACUGCUCCAUGUCGCAAGCAAAGAAGAGGAAACUUCCUCUCUCUCUCUCUCUCUGCCCCCUUUCCAUUGACCCAAACCAAACCCCAUUGAUCGAAGAAGAAAUCGACACCUAAGGAGAGUCGAGAGAGAGAGAGAGAGAGAGAGAGAGAGAGAGAGAGAGGGGAAAAGUGGUAGUCAUGGCGGCGAAGGGGUUGGCGAGAUCUCUUCUUGUUCGGGGAUUUGGAUUGGCGUUGAUCAUCGUGUCGGCGUGGAUUGGGGCGGCGAGGGCGGAGAUCCGGGAAAUGGAGGUGCGAUCGGACGCGCGGUCCAUCAUCCCCUUCGACGAGUUUGGGUUCACCCGGGCCGGCGGCCUGGAGCUCAACGUCACCGGCAUCGCCUUCUCCCCGGAGGCGGAGUCGCCGGACCUGUCGCAGCUGGGCUUCUUUCUAUCUACCCGGGACGCAUGGCUGCACGUCCUCCGCCAGCUGCAGGACCACGACAUCACCUGCGCCCUCCAGUCCGACCUCGUCCGCCUCGUCUACUCCUUCGACGGGCUCGUCCCCCCGCCCAACCCCUCCGGCGUCGGCGUCGCCCGCUCCUCCACCUUCCGCUUUCGCUUAAACCUCACCGAUCAGCCCGGACAGUUCACCCUCGUCUUCGCCAACUGCCUCCCCCCGCUCCGCGUCUCCAUGUCCGUCCGCUCCGCCAUGUUCAACCUUCCCGACCCCUCCCAUCGCGCCUACCUCUCCGCCGGCGCGGCCGUCCUGCCUCUUGUCUACUUCAUCCUCUUCCUCACCUACUCCGCCCUCGCCGCCGCCUGGGCCGCCGUCCUUCUCCGCAGGCGCCGCGCCGCCUUCCGCAUCCACUACUUCAUGCUCGCCGUCGUCGUCCUCAAGGCGUUCAACCUCCUCUGCGAGGCCGAGGACAAGUCCUACAUCGAACGCACCGGAUCCGCCCACGGCUGGGACGUCCUCUUCUACAUCUUCAGCUUCCUGAAGGGCAUCUCCCUCUUCACCCUCAUCGUCCUCAUCGGCACCGGCUGGUCCUUCCUCAAGCCCUACCUCCAGGACCGCGAGAAGAAGGUGCUCAUGGUCGUCAUACCCCUCCAGGUCGUCUCCAACGUUGCUCAGGUCGCCAUCGACGAGUCCGGACCCUACGCCCGCGACUGGGUCACAUGGAAGCAGGUCUUUCUCCUCGUCGAUGUCAUCUGCUGCUGCGCCGUCCUCUUUCCCAUCGUCUGGUCCAUCAAGAACCUCCGGGAGGCCGCCAGGACCGACGGCAAGGCCGCCGUCAACCUCAUGAAGCUCACUCUUUUCCGCCAGUACUACAUCGUGGUCAUCUGCUACAUCUACUUCACCAGGGUGGUAGUCUACGCCCUCACCACCAUCACCUCCUACCGCUACUUGUGGACCAGCGUGGUCGCCGGGGAGCUUGCCACCCUGGCGUUUUAUGUCUUCACUGGGUACAGGUUCAGGCCUGAGGCGCGCAACCCCUACUUUGCCAUCGAUGAUGAUGAGGAGGAGGCAGCCGUGGAGGCUCUCAAGCUCGAUGAUGAGUUUGAAUUGUGAAACAGUACUUGGAUCUUCAAGGAGGAAUCAGGAAAUUUACUUGCCUUCUACUCGAUACAGUGUCAAGGGAAGCUCAAAAAACAGAGGUCGGAUCUUUUAUCCUUGUUUUACUUUUCUUUUGCUAUGUUACAGUAAAAUAAGCAUUGCUGAUCCGUUGCCGUUGGAGAUAUGGUCAUCUUGUUUAGUGUCAGUACAAUAGCAUGUAAGUUUGUCUGUCUACUUCUCAUUUAUUGGUGCUAUUUGAUGUUUUUCAGUAAUUAUGGCAUCUCUCAGUCACUAGAAAGCCUGCAUUAUUUCAUUUAUUCCUUGUUACUUUUUUGAGCUUUUUAAGUUGGAUGAUCAUGGUUUUUUCUUGUCGGUACACAAUUCAGAUCUUCCAGUCUGAUUUUCAAACAGAAUGUAGCAGUUUCCUGCGGUGUGAACAUUAUUUAUCACAUACUGAAUUGUUGAAGCAUCUGAUGUAAUCUGUCUGAAAACAGCCAUAUGCAGAAUGCCAUAUUUUAGCAUAAUGCUGUAUAAUGUUUAAGAAAUAACCAACUGACAAAUGUCAUGUGAUAAUUCAUUGUUACAUGACUUUAUCUUAGGUCCUUACGAUUUAUUAUACUCUAUAAGGAGGGUCUUAUAGUUCCUUUUUCUUUGGAGUACAAUCAUGCAUCUUAUUAGAUUUCCAUCUCUUAUAUAGGAAAAACCUCAUGUUCUCACUUUUUUUCUUUUGAUUGAGCUGCUGAAUAUGAUAUAAGAUUGUGAAUUUUUCUGUUAUGGAAGUAUUUUCAUGUUUCAAGGUAUUAGUUUUCGAGCACCUGCUUUUGCUUGCUAUUGAGUAUAUUUUCAUUAUAUAAUGACAAAUUAUGUCCAGGGCCCAGACUACCUUGAUACACAAUCUAGGUCAUCCAUCUUAAACCCUAUAUGCAAAUAAUUUGGUGAGGAAUUGAACAGCAACUAAACAAUAGCUUUUGGGAUGAUUACAUUUUAUUUUGGAGAAAGGAGAACUUUUCUGUGAAUUUAAGUAGCAUCUGAACAAAAGCAAUAUGCAUCACAGGUGCAAUUGGUUGUUGGUAAUGAUCAAACCUCCUUGAGUGAUGCUUUUUCCAAUCCUAUGACUAACAUUUUGGUAUUGUUGAAGUUAUCUAUAAUGUUCAACAAAAAGGAAAAAAAACAAUAAGUAUGUCCUUUUGAGUCAGCAAGCCGAUACUGAGUUGUAAAGCUCAUAAUUUUGUUCUACGAUGGGGGUGAAACCAAUCAUGGCUUUAGCUGAGUGAGGAUUAUGAGCACUAGAUAGGGCAAAUUCGGAAUUAAAAGAAAGAACAGCGUAUCUAGGAGUGACAAAGGUCUGUGUUAGGUCAGGUUUUUUGUUGCCACAAACGCAUAUACUAAACAAAACGUUCAACCCAAACCAACCUGUCUAAUAAUCAUGUCAACAAUUUAAACCCAAAUUCAGCCCACCUAAUACAUAUAUACCUUAAACCAUGUCACUCGGUGUUGACACUUGUCAUCCUAAAUAAUGGCAUCUGUUGAGUUAAAUAAAUUAAUGCUUCUCACAAAGAAAAAAAGAAAGAUUGUUGAAGAUUUUUGAACAAGAUUUGUGAGGAAGAAGCUUAUAAUAACGUUGGCUUAUUAACUAGCAUUAAGGAUGAAUGCACUAUAUAUCUUAUUUUGCUUCAAAGAAUAGCUGGAAACACAAGACACCUAAAGUAGAGAAUUUCCAAACUCUUAUUAGAAAAGAAGUGAGAAAAUUGAAUCAUUUUGAACUGGUCAUAUUGAGUAGUGAAUGUGGAACCCAUAUUAGCUAGCUGGAUGCUGUCAGAACCAUGGAACUGAUCAAAUUCCGUGACCUCAGAAUCACUUGGUGCUGGAGGCAUAUUAGAAAUCUGAAACAAGUCAGUGCCAAAAAUUGAUUUUCCUGUGGACUUUUUUGUUUCGUCAGGAUGCACAGGCAUGAGGUAAACUUCCAACUCUAUUUGCAAACUUAGCCUUGACUUUGACAUUUUGAGUUGGGGAAGGUGAUGGAUUUCAAGGUUUAGUUCCAGGAUUUCAUUUCAUUAUUCUAGUCUUUUGCUUCAUGCUCAUGUACCUACUGUUAAUAUCCCCUCUUUUGUGUGGAAUUUAAAGAAUAUUUAACAGUGUCAAAUUUGAUCUUGCUGGGGUUGGAGUUUUAAUCUGGCAUCAGCUGGUGCAAGGUCUAAGGUUUCUUUGAACUUGCUUUGAAGAUUGUAAGAAGAGUAUUCCCUGUUUCAUUCUAAUGUUUAACUAUAUGCAUAUAUUGUGCUCAGUUUUGUCCAAUUUAUGUGUUUGUGGCUUGAAGUUUUAAGUUGAUAUGUCUGGUUCAGAGAAGCUGGCAACUACUUGUCCAAGCACUGGUAAGUUCACUCAGAUCUUGAAAGGUUAGCAGUAAGAUGUGACACCUACUGGAGAGAGAGUGUUGCGGUUGGUUGUGAUGUAAUGGCUAACUUGUCUCACCUACCUGCCUUAUCACAGGGGGUCCCAAUGGUCCCUGGGAAUGGUAGGAAGUGUGGAAACUCCCACUCCUAUGCUGCCAUGUCACAUCUACUGUGUAUUUAUUAGUUUGGUGUUACUAUUGAUGAUCAGUGGAGGGAAUCUUGAAGUCUAUUUUGGUUGGAAAACUUAGAAGAUGUCAACCAUAAAUCUAUUAGUCAUCUUGCAGAUGUUUAGUUUUCCUGUGUUUUUCAUGUCAUCAACUGAGUCUCACCAUCUUGAUUAUUUCAUCUAAACCUCCUCUGCUUCAGCAUAGAGCUGAUGUAGAUGAACAAUGAUGAAUGUAUACACAAGUUUAAAAGAUUAUAUAUAUAUAUAUAUAUGCAUUGACAAAAGUUACGAUAAGCUGAUUGGAUGUGAAAUAAGGUUCUAUGCUGGAAAUUUUGUGCUUGUUUCGUAAUGAAUGUAAAUCGAUGGGAAACGAAUGCCUUUUGGUUGAAUCAAUAUGGCGGAGAAUCCAAUGAUAUAGAAUCAAUCUUUUCCAGCCAAAAGUAGAGCUAAAAUAAUUCACUGAGAAUAUUCUCAGUAUUCCAAAGUGGAGCUAAAACAUUUACAAGCUUGAUGGAUGGGAUGGAUCACAUUCUAUCCAAUACUCUACCAUGCAUCCGCUUAGAUGGAGAUGUUAGGCUUAAGUAAAGCCCCAAGCAUUUGCACCGAACGUUUUCAAAUGAAAUGAGUAGUUAGAUUAUGUGAUUAUAAUCGGUUAAGAUAUAUUAUAGAUAUGAUUAAAUUCUAAUUAUAAUUAUAAAUCAAUAAAAAAAAUUAAUUAUCGUAAAAUUCUUUCAUCAAUCUUUUGUCUCUAAUUUAUCAGAAUGAUAAGAAAAGAGAAAAAGAAAUCUAGUUCUCCUUAUAAAUUGAUAUCCUUAUAGCUUUUAGAUCUAACAAUGAUGCAUCUACUGAUCAAAUAAAGACAUUCUGAAUACCAUCAAAAAGAUAUAUAUCAUAGAAAAAACCUAGUUUCGUCUAGUUUUAUCUUAUAAAUUAUAGAAAAAGAAAAGAAGACAAAGUCUAGUUUUAUCAUGUGAAUGAUAGAAAAAGAAAAGAAGAUAAAAUCUAAUUCUCCACAUAUCUGUAGCUUUUGAAUCAUGACAUUCAGAAUGUCUUUAUUGAUCAAAUAAAGACAUUCUGAAUACCAUCAAAAAGAUAUAUAUCAUAUAUGUGAUCUUGAUUUUAUUUUCUAGUAUUAAAUUUUUUCACUAGCAUAUUAUGAUUUUUAUACUUAUAAUUAGGUGAAAUAUCAAAAUCAUAAAUUUAUUUUUCACAAGAAAGAACAAAUAGAAUCAUGACAUUGAUUUAUCUUUGUUGAUAUAGAAUGUGGGCCAUCAACUCACCAUCUUCACUAAAUACAAAUGUGUUUUUGCACCAUCAUAAUUAUCUUCACUACCUUUCAGUUGUGCAAAAGAAAUUAUUUCAUACAUUUUGCUCCUAAUAGUUUCUUCUCUAAUUUUCUGUGCAUUCAUGAAAGAAUUUUUUUUUCAAAAAAUUGGCACUUACCUCGUGAUUCAAUUAGGUUAAAAUUGUCCGGAUUUAGGAUUAAUUUUUGCUAAUAUUAAAGCCUAUUGCAAGCCUAGUAUCAAGAGUUGAUUGGGUUAUGUAGUUCAUCCUGGAAAAACUAUAUAAAAGUCUAUCUGAUAUUUAAAUUAAUAAUUCCGGAGAACGGUGACAUAGCACUCAAAGAGUUUAGAAAGCCCUAAGCGAGUCGAUGUAUUUAAGCAUUUUAUAAGAAUUUUAAUAAUCAUUAAGAUUAAGCACGAAACUAAUUCACCAUAGAAUUUUCAUAAGAUUGUCCAACUUUACUUAUCAAACUUAAAAAUAAAAUCAUAAUUUUUUUUUUGGAAGCCAGUAGGACAUCUAAAUAAACAUCACGUGUCAAAUCUCUCUUAUCAAACUUAAAAUAAAAUCAUUAUUUUUGGAAGGAAUUUAAGAUACUAAAAGCAAACUUCAAAUAAAAUCAUAUUUUUUUGGGGGGAGGAAUUUAAGAUACUAAAAGUAGCAUUUAAAAGGACCAACGAGAAGCUACCUACCUAAUAUCGGUUAAGUUGUCGACGGCUGCUGAUUAAUCAUGAAAACCUAAAUUAAACUAGUUGAUUAGGACAGGAUACAGUUAUUUAUGUUACAAAUGAAGCACGCCCACCCUUUAAGAUCGAGACACGUGUUUGCACUGUCGUUAGACGAAGUGGAAACAGUGGUUGCACUGUCGACUGCCUCAUGAUUGACUUCCAGAAAGAGUGAGAAUUAUUGACACCCACAGACAGAUUAGCCAAUCGUUUGUGAUAAGGUGUCAGCUCAAUUAGUGAGGCAUUUAUCUUUAAUUUAAUCUUUAUUAUUUAUUUUUAUAAAAAUAAAUUAAAUUAAAAGAAAAUAAGUGCUCGAAAUAAAAUCAUUAUUAACUCAAAUUAAGAGUGGGAUCGAAACACUGCUUCUUCCUUCCUUUUGCUAAGGUGACGACGGGACGCAUCGAAAGGGGCGAUGCUUUGUUGCGCAAGCGACGUGGUUCAUUCGACCCUUGUCACUCAUGCCUACGUGACGGUGGCGGCACCAAAAUUAAAGCCAGUGGAAAUGCGUUUGAGCUUUGCCAUGGGUGGUGGGACACCUGAAAACGCCGCCUCUACUACCACACAUUACCCUCCCCCCCCCCCCCUUCCUUUCCUUGUUCUNNNNNNNNNNNNNNNNNNNNNNNNNNNNNNNNNNNNNNNNNNNNNNNNNNNNNNNNNNNNNNNNNNNNNNNNNNNNNNNNNNNNNNNNNNNNNNNNNNNNNNNNNNNNNNNNNNNNNNNNNNNNNNNNNNNNNNNNNNNNNNNNNNNNNNNNNNNNNNNNNNNNNNNNNNNNNNNNNNNNNNNNNNNNNNNNNNNNNNNNNNNNNNNNNNNNNNNNNNNNNNNNNNNNNNNNNNNNNNNNNNNNNNNNNNNNNNNNNNNNNNNNNNNNNNNNNNNNNNNNNNNNNNNNNNNNNNNNNNNNNNNNNNNNNNNNNNNNNNNNNNNNNNNNNNNNNNNNNNNNNNNNNNNNNNNNNNNNNNNNNNNNNNNNNNNNNNNNNNNNNNNNNNNNNNNNNNNNNNNNNNNNNNNNNNNNNNNNNNNNNNNNNNNNNNNNNNNNNNNNNNNNNNNNNNNNNNNNNNNNNGGGGGGGCCCCAAAAAUUAAAACCCGGGGAAAAGGGUUUGGGUUUUCCCCAGGGGGGGGGGGCCCCCGAAAAAACCCCCCUUUUUUUCCCACCAUUUCCCCCCCCCCCCCCCCCCCCCUUCCUUUCCUUGUUCUCUUCUUGCCGACGUCGUCGCCGUCGUCGGCGUUCUUGCGCAGUAGUUACGUAUUCGUUGUUUCCCCUGUUCUUUUUCUCGAGUCUUUUUGAAGGUCAGCUGUCAUGGUUAUGCAUGCUGUCCUCUCUCUCUCUCUCUCCACAUUUCUGCCAUGGGGUGGGUGGCUUUCCUCUAGUCCAGCAUAACUAACCCACUAGCCACAAGAAGGCCGAUCGAGAUCAUUGGUCCUCGCCGCAGAGCAGAGCGGUGGGACUCGAUAGAUAGAUAAAUAAGAACGUUUGCCUUCUUCUUCUUCUCCACCACUCGGCUGUGAGCAUGUCGGUGAAUGGGCGGCCCCGUGUGCCUCCGGGCUUCCGCUUUCAUCCCACCGAGGAAGAGCUGCUCUGCUACUACCUGAGGAAGAAGGUGACGUCGGAGGAGAUCGAACUGGACGUCAUCCGCGACGUUGAUCUCAACAAGCUGGAGCCGUGGGACAUACAAGGUGCUUCUGCUUUCCAUUGAUUCAUUCAUGCAUGGGAGUGAUGUGGGUACGUAACCGUGAACUCAUCAUGUCCAUCGGAUGCACAGAGAAGUGCGGGGUUAAUGGCGCAGCUCAGCAGAGCGAGUGGUACUUCUUCAGCCACAAGGACCGCAAGUACCCGACGGGCACGCGCACCAACCGAGCCACGGCGGCCGGAUUCUGGAAGGCCACCGGCCGUGACAAGGUGAUCUAUUCCAACGCCCGACGAAUCGGCAUGAGGAAGACGCUGGUGUUCUACAAAGGUCGCGCUCCACGCGGCCAGAAGUUGGAUUGGAUCAUGCACGAGUAUAGGCUGGAUGACCAUUCCCACCUCAUCCCCCGA
rnacentral:lncRNA from 1 species